UGACAUAACAUUACACAUGUCAUAAUAUAUUUGCCGCAUCAAAUUUUAAAAAUAACAAAACCUAUCUUAAUAAAUUUAAUUGCUACCAUUUAAUCUCAUGUUCUAUGUUCCCUUGAAGUUGAGCACCUUGAUCCACUAAAUCUUUCCUCUUUGUAUACCCUCCUCAAGCACAAGCAAACGGCAACCCCAACUAAUAUACCCACACUUGCCACUGGAACCAUGAUCCAAACCCACAGUUGAUUGCCAUUUCCUCCUAUAUCAGCAUCAGAAAACGCCCACGAUUUCACACAGUUGAGCUCAGUUUCAUUGCUUGUUGAACCAAAGAAUCCCAUGAAAAUCUUCUGCGGAAGAUAAGUAGAGAGAUCUACAGGCUAAGAAAAGCACAAGUGUCUGGUUGUCCCCAAUGAAAACUGACACGUUUCAGCCGUCAUAACACAGAUGCACCCUUAAAUCCUGACCUCCGGCUGAAAUGUAAACAUCGUAGUUGCUUAAAGAAACUUGCUUGGCCGACUGGAUUCUGUUUAUAUUUAACCCAAUAUGGUUGCCCUCUAUGUCUUGCUCAUCACUCUUCCUGGUGUCAAAUUCCACCGCCACACUGGCUUGAGAAGAACCAUUUGUGUUCGCAUUUACCAUCCCCAGCCACCAUCCUUGGCUGUUGUCCGGUAGGCUGGAGUUGUCGUUUAUUAAAAAGGCAACGCCUUCGCCACCACGAGAGGUUUGGUUGAGGAUAUUGAGGACGAACUCAUAUUGAAAGAAGCAAUGGUGGUGUGGUUGCCUUUCCAAAGCCGAAAUGGUUUCUUAUAAAGAGCUCGUCCAGAAAAGUUUUCCAUGGAACCUCCAUCAACAUCUGGAGUAACUUGGAUGGCUCUAAGAACUACGUAAGAAUUCCUACUCAAGAUAAGCUGGCCUUCAUCUUCUUUCUGGAAAAUUGAACUAAAAACAGGUUACUUGAACAAGAAAAACUGCUGGGAUUAAAAAAUAGGCUAAAAGAGAAGACCCCAUGCUAGCUGCAAAAUGUGGCUAAUCCCAUUCAUUCAAAGUCCAAAACGGAGUAAUGACUUCCCCUGGUUUUCCAUAAAUCAGUGCUAAAGUUCCCAACCUAUAUAUAGUGUUGACAAAUUACCAAUUGCUGCAAUACUGUAUGUAUAUUCUACGAUAAUCAUAUAUUUUCAACAUAUCAAUUCUUUUUUACUCAUAAUCACGUAAACAUAAUUAUGACUAAAAAAAUACAGACUGUAUGCUUGUUCCAUGCUGUUUUGCCAGACAGUUCUUUCCCCCCACUUAACAUUGCCGUUCCAAGGGGGUAAUUUUUUCUUGAAUAAGUUGGUUUAAAAAUAUCCCUAAUUUCAACAAAAGAAUCAGUCUACGCACCUUUCCAAUAUUAUUUAUAUAUUUUGUUUGAUUUAAAUCUUACACAUCAUUUAAAGUUAUCGUGAAAUCUUGUAACUUGUUCAUUUAAUUAGAUUGAUAUUGAACACUAGUCAUUCGAGCACGUUAAAAAGAAUAAAUUUUAAAAUUAAUAAAAUAAUCAAGUUUAUUUUAUUUUAUUUUAUUUUAUUAAAAUUUAUCUUUAAAAAACCAUAUUUUAAUUAACUAAUUACUAUACUUAUUAUUUAAUUGAAUAAUAUGACUACUCGACCGAAUCAGUGAACCUGAAAGCUACAAUAAUAUUUACCGAACAAAGAACAGCAAUGGCUCAUACCAUUGAAAUCUGUUGAAUUUAGUUCCCAUGCAAGACAUGCAAAGGUGGCCAUGCAAGGAGAAGUGGCAGCAAGCAGUCUAGCUAUGAAGUGCAGAAACUGGAGCUUGAAGUUGCCUAACUACUUGUUAUGUUUUGAUUGUAUUUUUUAAUUAUUAUUUUGUAAUCUAGUUCAUGUUGAACUAAGUUGGUAAACCUUAUGAUGUUUUUGUUGAUUGAUUGACUAAAAAAUCAGCAAAGAAACUUAAGCAAGCUGAUUAACAAUUUCCAAUGUAAAUUUAGUGGUGUUAGGUAUGUCAUUAGGUAAAGACUUGUUUAUUUUGUUGUUGUUAUCUAUUAUAUGUAAUGGCAUUAUGCCUUCUUGAUUUGUUAAUGAAAAUAUCAGCUCUUUUCAUUCAAAAUACUCUCUCUUAAUUUCUUUUGUUUUCCAUUCGCAUGUGUUUCUGUUUUUGCUUCUGAGUUUGUUUCUUCAGCAAAGCUCGAGGCUUGCUAUACAAGCAAGAUUGAAAACAGUCUGUUGUUGUCUCUUUGCACCAACAAUUGGUAUCUAGAGCUUCAUUCUUAGUGGGACUGUUUUAUCAAACUAAGAAAGCUGAAUGUCUUCCUCAAGUUUUUCACCAGCAGCCCCACCAGUCUUCAAUGGAGAAGGCUUCCACAUAUGGCUGGUCAAGAUGAAGACUUACCUACAGGCCUUUGAUCUGUGGGAAGUUGUCAACACAGAUGCUGAGCCAGCACCACUGAGGGCCAAUCCCACAGUAGCUCAGAUUAGGCAACAUGCUGAUGAGAGGACCAAAAGGCACAAAGCCAUGUCCUGCAUUCAGAAUUGUGUGUCAGAUGUCAUCUUCACCAGAAUUAUGGCCUGUGAGACUCCAAAACAGGCAUGGGAUAAGCUUAAGGAGGAGUUUCAAGGCACUGAGAGAACAAGGCAACAGCAGCUAUUGAAUUUGAGAAGGGAUUUCGAGAACCUGAAGAUGAAGGAAGAAGAAACAGUGAAGCAGUAUGCAGAUAGAAUCAUGGCAGUGGUUAACAGUAUAAGGCUCCUUGGUGAGCACUUUGAUGAGGCAAGGAUAGUAGAGAAAGUCCUCUCCACUUUGCCUGAGAGAUAUGAGGCCAAGAUAUCCUCUCUUGAGGACUCAAGAGACCUUGGUACCAUCUCUUUGACUGAGCUAAUCAAUACUUUCUAUGCUCAGGAACAAAGGAGAGCUAGCAGAGCUGAAGACCACCAGGAAGGUGCAUUCAAUGCCAAGGCCAGAGAAGCCUCGAGCAUCAAUGCUCCAAGAGGUAAAAAGCCUUGGAAAAGCAGGCCUAAGCCUGAUACUGCAAGGAGCAAUGACCAGCCCUGCAGACAUUGCAAGAGGCCAGGUCAUCCAGAAGACAGAUGCUGGUUCAGGCCAGAUGCAGUAUGCCAACACUGCAAGAAGAAAGGCCAUGUUGAAAGGGUUUACAAAAAUAGAACCAAGUCAAGGCAGAGUCAAUUUCAACAACCAAAGGUUGAAGCUCGAGUAGCUGAAGACAGUAGUGAUCAAGAAGAGCAGGUCUUUGCUGUUUCUUGCUUAGCUGCUGAGAAGAAAUGCUCAAAAGGCUGGUUAUUGGACAGUGGUUGCACUAACCACAUGUCACCAGAUGCCUCCUUGUUUAAAACCUUGGAUAGAAGUUGCAAAACCAAUGUCAUGGUUGGAAAUGGUUAGUUCAUAAGGGCUGAAGGAAGAGGAGAGGUGCUAAUAUGUACCCCCAUAAGCAACAAGAUCAUCCCAAAUGUGCUGUUAGUGCCAGAAAUCGACAGAAACCUUCUCAGCAUAGCUCAAUUGCUCGAGAAAGGCUAUUCUGUUGUGUUCAAGAACAAACAGUGCCACAUUGCUGAUCCAAGUGGAUCAAGCCUUAUGACAGUCACAAUGACUGACAAAUGCUUUGAGGUACACUGGCCAAAUGACUCAAAGUCUGCAUAUACAGCCUCUGUUGAUGAUUCCAAGCUUUGGCAUCAAAGGCUUGGGCAUGCCAACUUCAGAUCAUUGGCUCGAAUGGCCAAAGAGGGCUUGGCAGAGAACUUUACUAGCUUAGUGGAGCAUGAUGAUGUGUGUGAAGUUUGCCAGAUGGGGAAACAGGCAAGACUGCCAUUUCCUACAAAUUCAGCUUGGAGAGCUACUGAAAAACUGCAGCUGGUGCACUCUGAUGUAUGUGGCCCGAUGAAGACUGAAUCACUCAGCAAAAAUAGGUAUUUCAUCCUCUUCAUUGAUGAUUUUACAAGUUUUUGCUGGAUUUUCUGCUUAAAACACAAGUCAGAGGUAGCUCAAGUGUUUGUGAAGUUUAAAACUGCUGUAGAGACAGAAACAGGUUGCAAGCUGAAAUCGAUAAGGUCAGACAAUGGCACUGGGUACACUUCAGCUCAGUUUCAAGCCAUUUGCAAUGAUGCUGGUAUCAAACACCAGCUUACAAAUGUCUACACACCUCAGCAGAAUGGGGUAUCAGAAAGGAAGAACAGAAGCUUGAUGGAUAUGGCCAGGUGCCUGCUGUUUAAGAAGAAACUGCCCAAGACCAUGUGGGCUGAGGCAGUAAACACUGCUGUUUACCUUCAAAAUAGGCUUCCUACCAAAGCUCUUGCAUCCAAAACACCUUUCGAGGCUUGGUCUGAUUUCAAGCCUUCCUUGGCACAUUUGAAGGUGUUUGGUUGUCUGUGUUAUGCACAAAUACCAGCAGCAAAGAGAGACAAGCUCUCUAAAAGGGCUCAACCAGGUGUUCUAGUAGGCUAUAGCUCAGUUAAGAAGGGCUACAGGGUGCUGGAUCCUUUGACAAACAUAGUUCAAGUCAGCAGAGAUGUCAUCUUCGAUGAGAAGGCUUGCUGGAAUUAGGAAAAGAAUGAACCAGAAGCUGCUUCAGAAGACCUGGUGCCUAAUAAAGCUGAACUUGAGCAGGUAGGACCUGAAAUAGAUGUUGAUGAUGUGCCUGUGAGAGGCACAAGGCCCCUAGAUGAUAUUUAUGAAAGGGCACAGGUUGCAAUAGCAGAACCUAGCAGUUUUGAAGAGCCUGAGGCAGAUGAAGGCUGGAAACUAGCUAUGGUCGAUGAAAUCAACAUGAUUGAGAAGAACCAAACAUGGGAGCUACCAUUGGAGUAAAAUGGGUCUAUCGAGCAAAACAGAAUGCAGAUGGCAGUCUGAACAAGCUAAAAGCCAGGCUUGUUGUCAAAGGUUUUAGCCAAAGGUAUGGUCUGGACUACCUGGAGACAUUUGCACCAGUAGCCAGGCUUGACACAGUUAGAAUGAUAGUUGCCUUGGCUGCUCAACAUCAGUGGACCAUUCAUCAGCUUGAUGUUAAGUCUGCAUUUCUCAAUGGUUUCCUGGAAGAAGAGAUCUACAUUGAACAGCCUCAAGGAUUUGUGGUCACUGGCAAAGAACACAAGGUGUACAGACUGAAAAAGGCUCUGUAUGGCCUGAAACAGGCUCCUCGAGCCUGGUACGCUUGAAUUGAUUCUUACUUGCUCAGUUUGGAAUUCGAGAGAAGUCUCAGUGAACCAACACUGUAUGUGAAGAAGAACCAAGCUGAAACUCAGCUUAUCCUGUCACUCUAUGUUGAUGAUUUAUUGGUAACUGGAGGAGAUAGAAGAAUACUGGAAGAUUUCAAAAGAAAAAUGACGGAAAUGUUUGAAAUGUCUGAUUUAGGCAGAAUGAACUACUUCCUUGGAAUAGAAGUGAAGCAAACAGCAAAGGGAAUCUUUCUUAGUCAGAGUUCUUUUACUAUGAAGAUCCUGGAUAAGUUCUCUCUGAAGAACUGCAAGCCAACAAGCACAACAAUGGCUGUUGGAGUGAAGCUUUCGAGGCAAGGGAGUGGUGAACCAAUUUGCGAGACUAUGUACAAAAGUCUCAUUUGUAGUCUGUUGUAUUUGACUGCAACAAGACCCGAUAUCAUGUUUGCUGUUAGUGUGCUAUCCAGAUACAUGAAUUGCUGCAAUGAUCAGCACUUUCAAGCAGCUAAAAGAGUGCUUAGAUACAUCAAAGGCACCAUUGAUCAUGGUGUAUUGUUCAAAAGGGCUGAAAACAUGAAGCUGAUAGGCUAUGUUGAUAGUGACUGGGCUGGAUCUUGUGAUGACAUGAGGAGCACAUCUGGAUAUGCCUUUAGUCUUAGCUCAGGCAUGUUUUGCGGGAGUUCUAAAAAGCAAAGUCUGAUAGCACAGUCAACAGCAGAAGCUGAAUAUGUUGCUGCUGCAUCUGCUGUAAAUCAAGCCAUAUGGCUUAGAAAAAUCCUAGCUGAUUUAAACCAAAAUCAAUGAAAGGCAACAGAGAUUUACUGUAACAACAAAUUUGCUAUUGCAAUUGCAAAGAAUCCUAUCUUUCAUGGUAGAACAAAGCACUUCAACAUCAAGCUACAUGUCAUAAGGGAGAUGGAGCAAGCUCAUGAAAUCGAGCUGGUUCAUUGCAAUUCAGAAGAGUAAAUUGCUGAUAUCUUUACAAAGGCACUCAAUGUGUCUAAAUUUGUUAAAUUAAGAAGGCAAUUAGGUGUCACUAGCAUGGAAACUAAGGAGGAGUGUUGAAUUUAGUUCCCAUGCAAGACAUGCAAAGGUGGCCAUGCAAGGAGAAAGCAAGCAGUCUAGCUAUGAAGUGCAAAAACUGGAACUUGAAGUUGCCUAACUACUUGUUAUGUUUUGAUUGUAUUUUUUAAUUAUUAUUUUGUAAUCUAGUUCAUGUUGAACUAAGUUGGUAAACCUUAUGAUGUUUUUGUUGAUUGAUUGACUGAAAAAUCAGCAAAGAAACUUAAGCAAGCUGAUUAACAAUUUCCAAUGUAAAUUUAGUGGUGUUAGGUAUGUCAUUAGGUAAAGACUUGUUUAUUUUGUUGUUGUUAUCUAUUAUAUGUAAUGGCAUUAUGCCUUCUUGAUUUGUUAAUGAAAAUAUCAGCUCCUUUCAUUCAAAAUACUCUCUCUUAAUUUCUUUUGUUUUCCAUUCGCAUGUGUUUCUGUUUUUGCUUCUGAGUUUGUUUCUUCAGCAAGGCUCGAGGCUUGCUAUACAAGCAAGAUUGAAAAUAGUCUGUUGUUGUCUCUUUGCACCAACAAAAUCAAAAUUGCCUUUAAGUCCUCUACAUAUCUUGAGCUGUGAAAUAAUCCACUCCAACAACAAAAUGCAUAAGAAACGUCUUUUAUCGCAUGUUACCUUCUCGCAAUACGUCAAUCAUAUUAUAUAUACGCUUGUCUGCCUUCGACUUCACCUGCACUUGAACAAUACUCACAAUCAAAGACACUGAUAUGAACAUAAAACUAAACCAACACGCUAGUCUCGCCAUGAAAUUUGUUAUAAUCAACAUUAUGAUCCCUAAGUGCUACUUUCCGUACCCUUAAGCAGUAAAUACAACCGGAUAUUGUUAACUUAACCAAAUUGCAUGCUCAAUUUCUCUGAAAUUUAAAUAUAGAGACACUAGUGCCACAAACUUUAAGUUCACAGAAAUCGAAGGCAGUAACAGUAAAAACAUUCGGUGAAACACUAGGAUAGAUUCAAACUGGCAAGAGAAAUAUAAAUAACAUCACCUUCUUAGCAAGGAAAAGUAUAGCAUCAACAGUUCCCUCUGCGUAUAUCGAUCUGCCGCAAACAUUAUGCUGAAACUCAAACGACACUCUGCAGAAGAAUUUUCAAUCGGAGAUCAUCGAAAGGUCAUUUGAUAGUUACAUGUUGAACAAGUGUUGUGUUUAGUUCCCAUGCAAAGGUGGCCAUGCACGACAUGCAAAGGUGGCCAUGCUGGAAGAAAUGGCAGCAAGCAAUCGAGCUGUGGUAUGCAGCAGUUGAAGCUUGAAGUUGCUGAUUUCCUUGUUGCAUUUUGUUACCCUUUAAGCCUUUUGUAAUUUAGUUCAAAUUGAACUAAUUAGGUAAACAUUUUGAUGUAUCUUUGAUGUUGAUUAACUGAUAAUUCAGCAAUACAACUUAAGCAAGUCAUAUUAUCAAGUUUCAAUGUAAUUUAGUGGUGUUAGGUACAAGAUUAGGUGGUAACUUGUCUAUCUUUGUGAUGUGUUAUCUCAUAUAUGUAAUGGCAUUAAGCCUCUUUGAAUGGUUAAUGAAAUCAACUCAUUUUUCAUUCAAAUUAUCUCCUUUCUUUUCUGUUUUCCUACUUGCAUUCUUCUUUUCUUUCUCAAUUGUUUUUUCUCCAAGCCUCGAGGCUUGCUGUCCAAGCAAAGCUUCAGCAGCUUGCUACUACCUUCAACACCAACAAUUGGUAUCUAGAGCUUAUUUCUUAAGGGAUCUGUUACACAAAUCCAUGGCUUCAUCAAGCUUUUCACCAGCUGCACCUCAAGUCUUCAAUGGAGAAGGCUACCACAUAUGGGUGGUCAAAAUGAAAACCUACCUGCAGGCUUUUGAUCUCUUGGAGGUGGUCAACUCAGAUGUUGAACUAGAGCCACUGAGAGCCAAUCCAACAGUGGCUCAAAUCAGGCAGCAUACUGAUGAGAGAACCAAGAGGCAUAAGGCAAUGUAUUGCAUCCAGAACUCAGUGUCAGAUGUGAUUUUCACAAGGAUUAUGGCCUGUGAGACUCCAAAACAGGCCUGGGACAAGCUCAAGGAGGAGUUUCAAGGCACUGAGAGGACGAGGCAACAACAACUGUUGAAUUUGAGAAGGGAUUUUGAGAAUCUGAAGAUGAAGGAAGAAGCAACAGUGAAGCAAUAUGCAGAUAGAAUCAUGGCAGUGGUUAACAGUAUAAGGCUCCUUGGUGAGCACUUUGAUGAGGCAAGAAUAGUGGAGAAAGUCCUCUCCACUUUGCCUGAGAGAUAUGAGGCAAAGAUAUCCUCCUUAGAGGACUCAAGAGAUCUUGCUAGCAUCUUUUUGAUCGAGCUAAUUAACACCUUUUAUGCUCAGGAACAAAGGAGAGCUAGCAGAGCUGAAGAUCACCAGGAAGGUGAAUUUCAAGCCAAGGCAAGAGAAGUCUCAAGCACCAAUGCUCAAAGAGGCAAAAAGCCUUGGAGAAAAAGGCCUAAGCCUGAUGCUACAAGGAGCAAUGACCAGCCCUGCAAACAUUGCAAGAGGCCAGGUCAUCCAGAAGACAGAUGCUGGUUCAGGCCAGAUGCAGUAUGUUAACAUUGCAAGAAGAAAGGCCAUGUUGAAAGAGUUUGCAAAAACAAAACCAAGCCGAGGCAGAAUCAAUUUCAACAACCAAAGGUUGAAGCUCGAGUAGCUGAGGACAAUAGUGACCAAGAAGAGCAGGUCUUUGCUGUUUCUUGCUUAGCUGCUGAGAAGAAAUGUUCAAAAGGCUGGUUAUUGGACAGUGGCUGCACUAACCACGUGUCACUAGAUGCCUCCUUAUUUAAAACCUUGGACACAAGUUGCAAAACCAAGGUCAAGGUUGGAAAUGGUCAGUUCAUAAGGGAUGAAGGAAGAGGAGAAGUGCUGAUAUGUACUCCUACAGGCAACAAAGUCAUCUCAAAUGUUUUGCUGGUACUUGAAAUUGACAGAAACCUUCUCAGUAUAGCUCAGUUGCUUGAGAAAGGCUAUUCAGUUGUGUUCAAUGACAAGCAAUGCCACAUAGCUGAUCCAAGUGGAUCAAGCCUUAUGACAGUCCAAUGACUGAUAAAUGCUUUGAGGUCCACUGGCCAAAUGACUCAAAGUCAGCAUACACUGCCUCUGUUGAUGAUUCCAAGCUUUGGCACCAAAGACUAGGGCAUGCCAACUUCAGAUCAAUGGCUCGAAUGACCAAAAAAGGCUUGGUAGAAAAUUUCACCAACUCAAUAGAGCAUGAUGAUGUGUGUGAAGUUUGCCAAAUUGGGAAACAGCCAAGACUGCCAUUUCCUACAAACUCAGCAUGGAGAGUCACUGAGAGGUUGCAACUGGUGCACUCUGAUGUGUGUGGUCCAAUGAGGACUGAGUCACUCAGUAAAAACAGGUACUUUAUCAUUUUCAUUGAUGAUUUUUCAAGAUAUUGCUGGAUUUUCUUCAUGAAGUAUAAGUCUGAGGUAGCUCAAGUGUUUAUAAAGUUCAAGACUACAGUUGAAACUGAAACAGGUUGUAAGCUGAAGUCAGUAAGGCCAGACAAUGGCACUGAGUACACUUUAGCUCAGUUUCAAGCCAUUUGCAAUGAUGCUGGCAUCAAACACCAGUUAACAAAUAUAUACAAACCUCAGCAGAAUGGGGUAUCUGAAAGGAAGAACAGAAGCCUGAUAGAUAUGGCAAGAUUCUUACUGUUUGAGAAGAAACUGCCCAAGACCAUGUGGGCUGAGGCAGUAAACACUGCUGUUUACCUUCAAAAUAGGCUUCCUACCAAAGCUCUUACUUCCAAAACACCUUUCAAGGCAUGGUUUGGCUUCAAACCUUCAUUGGCACAUCUGAAGGUAUUUGGUUGCCUGUGCUAUGCACAAAUACCAGUAUGAAAGAGGGACAAGCUGUCAAAGAGAGCUCAACCUGGCAUCCUAGUGGGCUAUAGCUCAGUCAAGAAGGGCUACAGGGUUCUGGAUCCCUUGACAAGUAAAGUCCAGGUGAGCAAAGAUGUCAUCUUUGAUGAAAAAGCUUGCUGGAAUUGGAAAAAGAGUGAACCAGAAACUGCUUUAGAAGACCUGGUGCUUGAUCAAGCUGAACUAGAGCAACUUGAUCCUGAAAUAGAUGUUAAUGAUCUGCUUGUGAGAGGCACAAGGACCCUAGGUGAGAUUUAUGAAAGGGCACAGGUUGCUAUAGCAGAACCUAACAGUUUUGAAGAGGCUGAGGCAGAUGAAUGCUGGAAACAAGCUAUGCUUGAUGAAAUGAAUAUGAUUCAAAAGAAUCAAACAUGGGAGCUGGUUGAUAAGCCAGCUGGAAAGAAGACCAUUGGAGUGAAAUGGGUCUAUCGUGCAAAACAAAAUGCAGAUGGUAGUUUGAACAAACUAAAGGCCAGGCUUGUUGUUAAAAGUUUUAGCCAAAGGUAUGGUCUGGACUACUUGGAAACCUUUGCACCAGUAGCCAGACUUGACACAACCAGAAUGAUAGUUGCUUUGGCUGCUCAAAAUCAAUGGACGAUUCAUCAACUUGAUGUAAAGUUUGCAUUUCUCAAUGGUUUCCUAGAAGAAGAGAUCUACAUCGAGCAACCUCAAGGGUUUGUGGUCACUGGCAAAGAACACAUGGUGUACAGGCUGAAGAAGGCCUUGUAUGGCCUGAAGCAGGCUCCUCAAGCCUGGUAUGCUCGAAUUGAUUCCUACUUGCUCAGUUUAGAGUUCGAGAGAAGUGCCAGUGAACCAACUUUGUAUGUAAAGAAAAAUCAAGCUGAGACUCAGCUUAUUCUGUCACUCUAUGUUGAUGAUUUUUUGGUAACUAGAGGAAACAAGAACAUACUGGAUGAUUUCAAGAGGAAAAUGAAGAAGAUGUUUGAGAUGUCUGAUCUAGGCAGAAUGAACUACUUCUUAGGAAUGGAAGUGAAGCAAACAGCGAAUGGAAUCUUUCUCAGCCAGAGUUUCUUUGCUAUGAAAGUCUUAAACUAGUUCUCUAUGAAGAAUUGCAAACCAACAAGCACACCAAUGGCUGUUGGAAUGAAACUAUCAAGACAGGAAACUGGAGAAUUAGUUUGUGAGACUAUGUACAAGAGUCUCAUUGGUAGUCUACUGUAUUUGACUGCAACAAGGCCCGAUAUUAUGUUUGUAGUUUGUGUACUGUCCAGAUACAUGAAUUGCUGCAACAAUCAGCACUUUCAAGUAGCUAAACGAGUGCUGAGGUACAUCAAAGGCACCGUUAACCAUGGUGUAAUGUUCAAGAGAGCUCAAGACAUGAAGUUAAUAGGCUAUGUCGAUAGUGAUUGGGAUGGAUCAUGCGAUGACAUGAAGAGCAGAUCUGGAUAUGCAUUUAGCCUUGGCUGAGGAAUGUUUUGCUGGAGCUCUAAGAAGCAGAGUCUGGUGGCACAAUCAAUAGCAGAAGCUGAAUAUAUUGCUGCUGCAUCUGCUGUAAAUCAAGCCAUAUGGCUUAGAAAAAUCUUGGCUGAUUUAAACCAAAAUCAAGAACAGGCAACAGAGAUCUAUUGUGACAACAAAUCUACUGUUGCAAUUGCAAAGAAUCCUGUCUUCCAUGGUAGAACAAAACACUUCAACAUCAAGCUACAUGUCAUAAGGGAGAUGGAGCAAGCUUAUGAAAUCGAGCUGGUUCAUUGCAAUUCAGAAGAGCAAAUUGCUGAUAUCUUUACAAAGGCACUCAAUGUGUCCAAAUUUGUUAAAUUCAGAAGGGAAUUAGGUGUCACUAGCAUGGAAACUAAGGAGGAGUGUUGAGUUUAGUUCUCAUGCAACGGUGGCCAUGCACGACAUGCAAAGGUGGCCAUGCUGGAAGAAAUGGCAGCAAGCAAUCGAGCUGUGGUAUGCAGCAGUUGAAGCUUGAAGUUGCUGAUUUGCUUGUUGCAUUUUGUUACCCUUUAAGCCUUUUGUAAUUUAGUUCAAAUUGAACUAAUUAGGUAAACAUUUUGAUGUAUCUUUGAUGUUGAUUAACUGAUAAUUCAGCAAUACAACUUAAGCAAGUCAUAUUAUCAAGUUUCAAUGUAAUUUAGUGGUGUUAGGUACAAGAUUAGGUGGUAACUUGUCUAUCUUUGUGAUGUGUUAUCUCAUAUAUGUAAUGGCAUUAAGCCUCUUUGAAUGGUUAAUGAAAUCAACUCAUUUUUCAUUCAAAUUAUCUCCUUUCUUUUCUGUUUUCCUACUUGCAUUCUUCUUUUCUUUCUCAAUUGUUUUUUCUCCAAGCCUCGAGGCUUGCUGUCCAAGCAAAGCUUCAGCAGCUUGCUACUACCUCCAACACCAACAAUUGGUAUCUAGAGCUUAUUUCUUAAGGGAUCUGUUACACAAAUCCAUGGCUUCAUCAAGCUUUUCACCAGCUGCACCUCAAGUCUUCAAUGGAGAAGGCUACCACAUAUGGGUGGUCAAAAUGAAAACCUACCUGCAGGCUUUUGAUCUCUUGGAGGUGGUCAACUCAGAUGUUGAACUAGAGCCACUGAGAGCCAAUCCAACAGUGGCUCAAAUCAGGCAGCAUACUGAUGAGAGAACCAAGAGGCAUAAGGCAAUGUAUUGCAUCCAGAACUCAGUGUCAGAUGUGAUUUUCACAAGGAUUAUGGCCUGUGAGACUCCAAAACAGGCCUGGGACAAGCUCAAUGAGGAGUUUCAAGGCACUGAGAGGACGAGGCAACAACAACUGUUGAAUUUGAGAAGGGAUUUUGAGAAUCUGAAGAUGAAGGAAGAAGCAACAGUGAAGCAAUAUGCAGAUAGAAUCAUGGCAGUGGUUAACAGUAUAAGGCUCCUUGGUGAGCACUUUGAUGAGGCAAGAAUAGUGGAGAAAGUCCUCUCCACUUUGCCUGAGAGAUAUGAGGCAAAGAUAUCCUCCUUAGAGGACUCAAGAUAUCUUGCUAGCAUCUUUUUGAUCGAGCUAAUUAACACCUUUUAUGCUCAGGAACAAAGGAGAGCUAGCAGAGCUGAAGAUCACCAGGAAGGUGAAUUUCAAGCCAAGGCAAGAGAAGUCUCAAGCACCAAUGCUCAAAGAGGCAAAAAGCCUUGGAGAAAAAGGCCUAAGCCUGAUGCUACAAGGAGCAAUGACCAGCCCUGCAAACAUUGCAAGAGACCAGGUCAUCCAGAAGACAGAUGCUGGUUCAGGCCAGAUGCAGUAUGUCAACAUUGCAAGAAGAAAUGCCAUGUUGAAAGAGUUUGCAAAAACAAAACCAAGCCGAGGCAGAAUCAAUUUCAACAACCAAAGGUUGAAGCUCGAGUAGCUGAGGACAAUAGUGACCAAGAAGAGCAGGUCUUUGCUGUUUCUUGCUUAGCUGCUGAGAAGAAAUGUUCAAAAGGCUGGUUAUUGGACAGUGGCUGCACUAACCACGUGUCACUAGAUGCCUCCUUAUUUAAAACCUUGGACACAAGUUGCAAAACCAAGGUCAAGGUUGGAAAUGGUCAGUUCAUAAGGGAUGAAGGAAGAGGAGAAGUGUUGAUAUGUACUCCUACAGGCAACAAAGUCAUCUCAAAUGUUUUGCUGGUACUUAAAAUUGACAGAAACCUUCUCAGUAUAGCUCAGUUACUUGAGAAAGGCUAUUCAGUUGUGUUCAAUGACAAGCAAUGCCACAUAGCUGAUCCAAGUGGAUCAAGCCUUAUGACAGUCCAAUGACUGAUAAAUGCUUUGAGGUCCACUGGCCAAAUGACUCAAAGUCAGCAUACACUGCCUCUGUUGAUGAUUCCAAGCUUUGGCACCAAAGACUAGGGCAUGCCAACUUCAGAUCAAUGGCUCGAAUGACCAAAAAAGGCUUGGUAGAAAAUUUCACCAACUCAAUAGAGCAUGAUGAUGUGUGUGAAGUUUGCCAAAUUGGGAAACAGCCAAGACUGCCAUUUCCUACAAACUCAGCAUGGAGAGCCACUGAGAGGUUGCAACUGGUGCACUCUGAUGUGUGUGGUCCAAUGAGGACUGAGUCACUCAGCAAAAACAGGUACUUUAUCAUUUUCAUUGAUGAUUUUUCAAGAUAUUGCUGGAUUUUCUUCAUGAAGUAUAAGUCUGAGGUAGCUCAAGUGUUUAUAAAGUUCAAGACUACAGUUGAAACUGAAACAGGUUGUAAGCUGAAGUCAGUAAGGCCAGACAAUGGCACUGAGUACACUUUAGCUCAGUUUCAAGCCAUUUGCAAUGAUGCUGGCAUCAAACACCAGUUAACAAAUGUAUACACACCUCAGCAGAAUGGGGUAUCUAAAAGGAAGAACAGAAGCCUGAUAGAUAUGGCAAGAUUCUUACUGUUUGAGAAGAAACUGCCCAAGACCAUGUGGGCUGAGGCAGUAAACACUGCUGUUUACCUUCAAAAUAGGCUUCCUACCAAAGCUCUUACUUCCAAAACACCUUUCAAGGCAUGGUUUGGCUUCAAACCUUCAUUGGCACAUCUGAAGGUAUUUGGUUGCCUGUGCUAUGCACAAAUACCAGUAGCAAAGAGGGACAAGCUGUCAAAGAGAGCUCAACCUGGCAUCCUAGUGGGCUAUAGCUCAGUCAAGAAGGGCUACAGGGUUCUGGAUCCCUUGACAAGUAAAGUCCAGGUGAGCAAAGAUGUCAUCUUUGAUGAAAAAGCUUGCUGGAAUUGGAAAAAGAGUGAACCAGAAACUGCUUUAGAAGACCUGGUGCUUGAUCAAGCUGAACUAGAGCAACUUGAUCCUGAAAUAGAUGUUAAUGAUCUGCUUGUGAGAGGCACAAGGACCCUAGGUGAGAUUUAUGAAAGGGCACAGGUUGCUAUAGCAGAACCUAACAGUUUUGAAGAGGCUGAGGCAGAUGAAUGCUGGAAACAAGCUAUGCUUGCUGAAAUGAAUAUGAUUCAAAAGAAUCAAACAUGGGAGCUGGUUGAUAAGCCAGCUGGAAAGAAGACCAUUGGAGUGAAAUGGGUCUAUCGUGCAAAACAAAAUGCAGAUGGUAGUUUGAACAAACUAAAGGCCAGGCUUGUUGUUAAAAGUUUUAGCCAAAGGUAUGGUCUGGACUACUUGGAAACCUUUGCACCAGUAGCCAGACUUGACACAACCAGAAUGAUAGUUGCUUUGGCUGCUCAAAAUCAAUGGACGAUUCAUCAACUUGAUGUAAAGUUUGCAUUUCUCAAUGGUUUCCUAGAAGAAGAGAUCUACAUCGAGCAACCUCAAGGGUUUGUGGUCACUGGCAAAGAACACAUGGUGUACAGGCUGAAGAAGGCCUUGUAUGGCCUGAAGCAGGCUCCUCGAGCCUGGUAUGCUCGAAUUGAUUCCUACUUGCUCAGUUUAGAGUUCGAGAGAAGUGCCAGUGAACCAACUUUGUAUGUAAAGAAAAAUCAAGCUGAGACUCAGCUUAUUCUGUCACUCUAUGUUGAUGAUUUUUUGGUAACUAGAGGAAACAAGAACAUACUGGAUGAUUUCAAGAGGAAAAUGAAGAAGAUGUUUGAGAUGUCUGAUCUAGGCAGAAUGAACUACUUCUUAGGAAUGGAAGUGAAGCAAACAGCGAAUGGAAUCUUUCUCAGCCAGAGUUUCUUUGCUAUGAAAGUCUUAAACUAGUUCUCUAUGAAGAAUUGCAAACCAACAAGCACACCAAUGGCUGUUGGAAUGAAACUAUCAAGACAGGAAACUGGAGAAUUAGUUUGUGAGACUAUGUACAAGAGUCUCAUUGGUAGUCUACUGUAUUUGACUGCAACAAGGCCCGAUAUUAUGUUUGUAGUUUGUGUACUGUCCAGAUACAUGAAUUGCUGCAACAAUCAGCACUUUCAAGUAGCUAAACGAGUGCUGAGGUACAUCAAAGGCACCAUUAACCAUGGUGUAAUGUUCAAGAGAGCUCAAGACAUGAAGUUAAUAGGCUAUGUCGAUAGUGAUUGGGAUGGAUCAUGCGAUGACAUGAAGAGCAGAUCUGGAUAUGCAUUUAGCCUUGGCUGAGGAAUGUUUUGCUGGAGCUCUAAGAAGCAGAGUCUGGUGGCACAAUCAAUAGCAGAAGCUGAAUAUAUUGCUGCUGCAUCUGCUGUAAAUCAAGCCAUAUGGCUUAGAAAAAUCUUGGCUGAUUUAAACCAAAAUCAAGAACAGGCAACAGAGAUCUAUUGUGACAACAAAUCUACUGUUGCAAUUGCAAAGAAUCCUGUCUUCCAUGGUAGAACAAAACACUUCAACAUCAAGCUACAUGUCAUAAGGGAGAUGGAGCAAGCUUAUGAAAUCGAGCUGGUUCAUUGCAAUUCAGGAGAGCAAAUUGCUGAUAUCUUUACAAAGGCACUCAAUGUGUCCAAAUUUGUUAAAUUCAGAAGGGAAUUAGGUGUCACUAGCAUGGAAACUAAGGAGGAGUGUUGAGUUUAGUUCUCAUGCAAAGGUGGCCAUGCACGACAUGUAAAGGUGGCCAUGCUGGAAGAAAUGGCAGCAGGCAAUCGAGCUGUGGUAUGCAGUAGUUGAAGCUUGAAGUUGCUGAUUUGCUUGUUGCAUUUUGUUACCCUUUAAGCCUUUUGUAAUUUAGUUCAAAUUGAACUAAUUAGGUAAACAUUUUGAUGUAUCUUUGAUGUUUAUUAACUGAUAAUUCAGCAAUACAACUUAAGCAAGUCAUAUUAUCAAGUUUUAAUGUAAUUUAGUGGUGUUAGGUACAAGAUUAGGUGGUAACUUGUCUAUCUUUGUGAUGUGUUAUCUCAUAUAUGUAAUGGCAUUAAGCCUCUUUGAAUGGUUAAUGAAAUCAACUCAUUUUUCAUUCAAAUUAUCUCCUUUCUUUUCUGUUUUCCUACUUGCAUUCUUCUUUUCUUUCUCGAAUGUUUCUUCUCCAAGCCUCGAGGCUUGCUGUCCAAGCAAAGCUUCAGCAGCUUGCUACUACCUCCAACACCAACAACAAGAUGUAAGGUACAGGUGAAAAAGUUAAGUCAAUACGUUUGAUGAGGUGAUGUUAGAUGAUACAAAUGAAAGGCAUGACCAGACAGAUGCUCUUCUGGUACUCCCACCAUCUUAAUCUGCUGCUUGGGAUCCCAGAGCAUUUGUAUCUGGAAAAAGAAAUGGAGACAAGUUAGAAGUCCAAAACCUUGAAAGAACCAUAUGAUAAACGAAUUUAUGUCAUUCCUAAGAGUCAAAAUCUCCCAACCUUCUCCUACCCCCGUCCCCAGCCCCCAACCAAUAAGAAAAAAGAACUUGAUUUCUCUUUCAAUUACAAUUAAGAAUAUGUGAGAGCCACACACCUGAUCCAUGUCAAAUGACACCCCCAAUUUCUGAAAGUAAGAAAUAAUAGCCUUAGCAGUACCAGAAGUGUCCAAUUUGCCUGCUUGAUGGGACUCCAUCACCUAAUCAAAAUUAAUGAAGAUUAGCAAUAUGUAACCAAUAUGACAAAACACUAAAGAUGGUGCCUAAGAAAACUUAUUAUAAAUAAUAUUUAAGAAAAUGAGGCAUCCCAAAGGACUAUCAUAUCCGAAGACAAAGAUAAGCAACUGUAAACACAGGCCCAAGAAAACUUGUUACAAACAAAUUCCAUAUGGUAUGUAAACACUAAUGGAUAAAUCCAUCCACAAAUGUAAGAUCCAAAAGCUAACUGCUCCAAGUCAUGCUAUUCCUUCACAAUGUAUCAAACCGGCUUCUUGAUAUUGCUUCAAACAGUUGUAUUUUGCAGCCUCAAUUGUUGACAAGUUAUAACAUUAUUGGUUAUACCUAAUCAGCCUAAUUUGAAAAUAUUGUUUUUUCAAGCACUUUCAAAACGAAUAACCUUAUUUAAAGAAGUACCUGUAGGGAAUAUCCAGAGAAGGCUCCAGGAAACUACUCAGCCAUGAUCUCCAUCGCUGCAAGAAAUGCAACAACCUAAAAAAACCAUCAGUAUUAAGCAACCAAAAAAGGAAAUCUACGAUUCCAACAGUUAAAAUGGUAUUUCAACUGACUAAAGGUUAGAUGACCUGUUUCCUCAUUUGUGGCGAGAUCACAGCAUAAACCUUUGACUCUUCAACAGUCUUAUAGAGUCGAUCCGUGUCUCCACCAGUGGUGCCCAUAACAAAAGGUACUCCAACUUUGCCAUAGAGCUCAGCAUUAUCUAUAUUUAUCAAACACCCCAAUACCAUAAACAAUUUAAAAAGGUAAUUAACAGAAAGAUCAAAUCAUAACAUCGGACUUGAAUAGCAUGCAUAAAUUUAUUUAACAAGUCGUAACUUUUUUAAUGAUAAGCUGAGAAUAAUUCAAUCAUAGUAUAGAAUAUCACCACAAAAUAUCGCUUCAAAUUUUGGAGACAUUAUUCAACACACUUUCGAAGUGCUUGUCACUCAAGUUCAUUUUAGUUCCAUUUUCAUCAAAUAUGAAAAAUGAUUUAGUUUUAAAUGCAUGUUCCUGAAUAGGUUACCAUUAAUUGUGGCAGGAUUAAAACCAUUCCUUCAAGAUUAAAACCAAUGGGAUCAAGUGUCCCAAGAAAAGAAUAAAAAGCAGAAGUGUAAUUAAUAGACAAACUUGAGUUAUUAGUCAAGCCGAAUACAAACUUAAUAAUAUUUGGUUCAAAUAAUUCACAAGUCGUAUCGAACUUUUCAAUUUUAACAUACAUCUUAAAUCUUUUUAUAUUAUAAAAUUACAUUAUUUUCUUAAUAUAUAUUAUUAACUUCAAAUUUAAUUAUCAAAUUGAGCUCGAACUCGAACACAUAUAAGUUUAAUUGAACUCAAAUUAAAUAUUGAGUACAAAAAAUUAUCAAAAAAGCAGAAUACGAAAAUUACAAAGGGUGAAAUGUUUACAAAUAUCUAUAGUAUACAUUUGUAAUUCCCGAUGCUAUAUAAAGUUCUUAUUGACUUGAUCACUCAGAUCCACAUUAACCCCUAUCAGCCUCGUUCCCACUAACUUCUUUAUUUUUCCCAAGUAAUAUAAGGUGUAAUAAAAAGUAGAUUGAAUGACUAAGAAUUAUUUUGGGUUUGACGAACAUAUUACAUAAUUGUCAUUCUUAGAGCUAGCUUGAUGGUGAAUAAAAGGUGACAGUCUGGAUUUGUUCAUAUUUUAAGGUUACAUUGGUAUUCUCCUCACCUAAUAUACUAAACAACCUACUGUGUAAAGAGUGUGGAGGCUGGCGAAGAGAUCGCACCUGAACUCUUCAAUGCAAUUCAGCAAUCAUGGUGCUCGGUAAUCGUUUUUUUCAGAAAUCUAUGCCUUUUCAGGUUGGUUCUUGGAAGAGCUUGCUGAGAUUGUUAAACAAAAAAAACGACAUGGGACAUAAGGUAUUUCAAAUUUUCUACAAUGUGGAUCCAUCAGAUUUAAGAAAACAGAAAGAGAAAGUUGAAGAGGCCUUUGCCAAACACGAAGAGAGAUACAAAGAAGAUAGAGACAAGAUCCAAAGGUGGCGAAACGCUUUGACUCAAGUGGCUAACAUCAAGGGAUGGCAUUUAAAUAACAGGUAAUUCUUCUUUUCUUCUCUACUUUCUAGUUUAAUUGAAAAGUGUCAUAUUUCAAUAAAAGACCAAAUUUUGUAUUCUGGUUCCGCAACAGAUCUUGUUUUCUUAUUCUUGGUUCUUGUUUGCUUCCAUUAUGAUUCAAUGAGAUACAAAGUGCAUUUGAAAGAUAUCAACAAAAUUUUAUUCAAAAAAAUUAAAAUUUCUUUCUUCGUAGGCACGAAUCAGAAUUUAUUAGAGACAUUGUUAUGAAGAUAUCAGCAAAACUAUGUCAAACAUAUCCAGUUACUCAUAACGACUUGGUUGGAAUCGGUAAAACGACACCCGCAAGAGUUGCUUACACUCAAAUGUCACCUCAUUUUGAAGGUACAAGCUUUAUUGCUGAUAUUCGAGAAGUUUCAGACAAAUGUGGACUAGUUUCUUUACAAAAACAAUUUCUUUCACAAAUCUUUCAUGAUGAAUGCUUCAACUUUUUCAACUUUCACGAAGGGUGUUGGAUUUUUCAGCAAGAAAGAAAAACAGAAACGAAAGAAGCAAGAAAACUAAAUAAGGAACUCAGCAAAAGUAACUGAAAACUUCAUCAAAUUUUCAUUUAAAUUUUGAAAGAUAUAUGAGAGUUACAAGAGUAAUUUGUCAAUUACCUAAUGGUUAACUGCUCCCACUAAAUACAUAAAUAAAACUAACUUAAACUUGUACACAAAGAUAAGCUGACAUAUCAGCUAUUACAUCAAUACAAAUCAGCCAACAUAUCUUACUAACUUUGCUAUCAAAUUACAAAGAAAGAAGACUAAGUUGUAUAGGAACAAAAUAAUCAAAAUAUGUUGUUGCAUUCGGACCAGCUUCAUUUCUUCACUUCAGAACAGUGUUGCUGCUGGAGUUGAGCUGAAUUUGCUGCUGGUCUUUUGUUGCGAUGCAGGCCAAAGCUUAACACUCCUCAUUGGACUAUAUGCAACAAACACCAAUCUUUCUUUUCAAAGCUUCAAACUUGUUAGCUCCUAAUGGCUUGGUCAAAAUAGUAGCCAAUUGAGUUUCUGAGCUGCAAUGAAUAAGACUGACUUCCUUCGACUGCUCAGCUUCUCGAACAAAAUGAAACUUGAUUUUAAAAUGCUUAGUCUUACCAUGGAAGACUGAAUUCUUGGCUAUGGCAACUGCUGAUUGAUUAUCAACCUUGAUUUCAGUUGGUUGAGUUUGUUCUUUAUCCAAAUCAUACAAAAGCUUUUUAAGCCAAAUGGCUUGAUUAACUGAUGCUACAGUUGAGAUGUAUUCUGCCUCUGCUGUAGAUUGAGCAACAGUUUGUUGCUUCUGCAAACUCCAGCUAAAAACACUAGAGCCUAAGGUGAAGAAAUAACCUGAUGUACUUCUCAUGUCAUCAACUGAACCAGCCCAAUCACUGUCAGAAUAACCAACAAGCUUUAACUCCUUUGCCCUUCCAAAAUUUACACCAGAAUUAAGGGUUCCUUUGACAUAUCUUAAUACCCUUUUUGCUGCUUUAAGAUGAGCAAUAUUACAAUAGUGCAUAAACCUUGAAAGAAGGCUAACAGCAUAUACAAUGUCUGGCCUUGUAGCAGUCAAAUAAAGUAAGCAGCCAACCAAACUCCUAUAUGCCUUUUCAUCCACACGAUCAUGCUCACUGGUGCUUGACAGCUUCUGUCCCAAUGCAACAGGUGUGGUAACAGAUUUACAAUUUGACAUACAGAAUUUCUCUAGCACUUUUAGUGCAAAUGUUUGCUAGCUUAUGAAAAUAUUUCCAUCUUCUUGGUUUCCUUCCAUGCCAAAAAAGUAUGUCAUCAAACCAAGAUCAGUCAUUUCGAAUACUUCUUGCAUCUAUUUCUUAAAGUCCAUAAUCAGCUCAUUUUUGCAACCAAUAACUAGCAAAUCAUCAACAUAUAGAGACACAAUCAACAAAGUCUCCUUUUUAGCUUUUUUGACAUAAAAAGUAGGCUCACUGACACUCUUUGUGAACCCAAGCCUUGCCAAAUAACUGUAUAUUCUUUCAUACCAGGCCUUUGGAGCCUGUUUUAGGCCAUACAAGGCCUUUUUGAGCUUGUAAACUUUAUGUUCUUCACCAGGGAUCUUAAAUCCUUCAGGCUGUUAUAUGAAGAUUUUUUCCUUGAGAAAUCCAUUUAAGAAGGCUGACUUGACAUCUAAAUGAUGUACCUUCUAGUGUUUUUGAGCUGCCAAGGUAAACAACAGCCUUAUGGUAUCCAACCAUGCAACAGGUGCAAAGGUUUCAGAGAAAUCAAUCCCUUGUUGCUGACUGUACCCUUUCACAACCAGCCUAGCAUUGUGUUUAUCCAGAGAACCAUCAGUAUUGUUCUUGGUUCUGAAAACCCAUUUGACACCAAUGAUCAUUCUAUUUUUAGGCCUAUUAACAAGCUCCUAAGUAUCAUUCUUGUGAAUCAUCCUCAAUUCAGUUUCCAUAGCCUCUUGCCAACAGCUCCUUUUUGCAGCUUCAUCAUAUUAGGAAGGCUCCACCAUGGUUACAGUACAUCUUUCAUAAGUGUUUGCUAGUGUCCUAGUACCUCUAAUAGGUACAUCAUCAUAGACAUAUUCAACUACUUCUUCAGUUUCAGUCUGCUACAGGUCAAGGUCAUUCUGAUCUUCAUCAAGCAGACUUGCCUCAAUUCCAUCCCAUUUCCAACAAUGUGCUUCACUGAACUCAACAUCACUGCUUAUUACAACCUUCUUAGUCAGUGGAUCAAAGACUCUAUAUCCCUUCUUUACACUGUUGUAGCCAACAAACACCCCUGGCAUGGACCUCUUUUCUAACUUAAUUCUUUUCUCUGCUAGUACCAGUACAAAACAUAAACAGCCAAAUACUUUCACAUGUAAGACAGAUGGUUUCUAUCCAAACCAAGUUUCAAAAGGUGUUUUACCUUUGACUGCAUUAGUUGGUAGUUUGUUUUGUAAGUAAAUAGUUGUGUUGGAUAUCUGUGAAUAAUACCUAGUGUAUGAAUAAUACAAAGUACCUAUUACCAUUUAAGGAGGUAGUCUUCAUAGGUCCACAGAUAUCUGUAUGAACCAGCUGGAGUCUUUCUUGAGCUCUCUAUACUUUGUUGACAGGGAAAGGUAGUCUGGUCUGCUUGCCAAGCUGACAGACUUCACACACUUCCUUCUUUGGCUCGAUCUUGGCAUCUUUUGCAACAUGCUCAGUGAAUUGUAGUUCACAUGCCCUAGCCUCCUAUGCCAUAAACUUGCUUCAUCAGUCUGAGAUGCAUAUUCACAUCCACAAUGAAGGUUUUAUCUUACAUGACUACUGUUGCUAACACCUGAUCAAUAGCAUCUUUGAUCACAUAGGUUUUGUCUUCAAAAACAAGAGAGUAACCCUUCUCCAGUAGCUGACCAACACUCAGCACAUUUUAAUCAAUGUCAAGUACAUAAAGAACCUCAGAAAUGGUUUUAUUACCUGACUUGGUGCCUAUCACAGCCUUGCCAUUCCCUCUUGCCUCCAAGAGUUCACCAUUGCUUAUUCUGACUUUGGACUUGAAAGUGGUGUCUAACACCUUGAAUAUGCUCUUAUCAGAGGCCAUGUGGUGAGUACAUCCAUUUUCAAUUAGCCAAAUCUUGCUAACCUUGCUCGAGCCUGCAAAACAUGAUGUUGAAAAGACAUGUUCUUCCUGUACUUCAACAUCCUCAGUAGCUUGAGCUUGAUUCUGAUACUGUGAUUGUGCUUUUGGCUUGUUUUUGUCUCAAUGUGGCCAAACUAUUUGUAGGCUCUACACUGAAUGUCUGGUCUGUACCAGCAGUAUUUUUCAAGGUGAGUAGUCUUCUUGCAAUGGAUACAAGGUGGAAAUUUCUUCUUGGUAGCCUCUUUCUUUUUUUUUUCUGUCUAAGGCUUCUUCCCUUUGGAAUUAGAGGUUGAACUUGAGCUUUCUUUGCUUCCGGCUUGAAAAGUUCCCUCAAAGUGUUCUUCCAUUCUGUUUGCCCUUCUUUGCUCUUAUGCAUAAAGAGCAUUUAUUAGCUGAGUCAAAGGAAUUGUUGAUAGGUCCCUUGAAUCCUUUAGAGAAGAAAUUUUUGCUUCAUACUUCUCUGGUAAGGUUGUUAUGACUUUUUCAACUACCCUUUGAUCACUAAACUCUUCCCCAAGCAGUCUUAUAUUGUUGACAGUGGCCAUAAUUCUGUCAGCGUACUGCUUAAUGGUUUCUGAGUCUUUCAUUCUCAGAUUCUCAAAGUCCCUUCUUAAAUUAAUUAGUUAUUGCCACCUAGUCUUGUCUGACCCCUGAAACUCCCCCUUGAGUUUAUUCCAUGCCUGCUUUGGUGAGUCACAGGCCAUAAUUCUUGUAAAGAUAACAUCAGAAACUCCACUUUGAAGGCAUGACAUGGCCUUGUACUUCUUGGCACAGUCUUCACUAUGUUGCCUGAUCUGAGCUAUGGUCGAGUUAGCUCUUAAUGAUGGUGGCUCAGUGUCAUUUAGAACAAUAUUUCACAGGUCAUGUACCUGCAGAUAUGUUUUCAUUUUCACUACCCAGAUGCUGUAAUUUUCACCAGCAAAAAUAGGUGGAGGAGGUGGUAAAAAACUCAUCUUUACAGUAACAAAAAAACCAACAAAAACAACUUCUGCUUCUUUUUUUGUGCACAAAUCACUUAAAGACAGUGCACAACCAAAGCCCUCAAAGACAGUAGGCUCUUGAUACCAUUUGUUGGAUUUUUCAACAAGAAAGAAAAACAGAAACGAAAGAAGCAAGAAAACUGAAUAAGGAACUCAGCAAAAGUAACUAAAAACUUCAUCAAAUUUUUAUUCAAAUUUUGAAAGAUAUAUAAGAGUUACAAAAGUAAUUUGUCAGUUACCUAAUGGUUAACUGCUCCCACUAAAUACAUAAACAAAACUAACUUAAACUUGUACGCAAAGAUAAGCUGACAUAUUAGACAAAAGUAAUUUGUCAGUUACCUAAUGGUUAACUGCUCCCACUAAAUACAUAAAUAAAACUAACUUAAACUUGUACACAAAGAUAAGCUGACAUAUUAGCUAUUACAUCAAUACAAAUUAGCCAACAUAUUUUACGAACUUUGCUAUCAAAUUACAAAAAAACAAGACUAAGUUGUAUAGGAACAAAAUAAUCAAAAUAUGUUGCUGCAUUCGGACCAGCUUCAUUUCUUCACUUCAAAACAGUGUUGCUGCUGGAGUUGAGCUGAAUUUGCUGCUAGUCUUUUGUUGUAAUGCAGGCAAAGCUUAACAAAGGGAAUGCCAUAAUUAACCAUAGGUUGUCUCACAAAAAGGUUCUUGUUGUUCUUGAUAACGUUGAUAACAUACAACACCUAAAAUGCUUGGUUGGAAGGCAUGAUUGGUUCGGAUUAGGGAGUAGAACCAUUAUAAGAACAAGAGACGAACAUUUGCUUCGAUGUUGCCAAGUUGAUGAUAUGUAUAUGCCCACAACACAGAAUCCCAAAGAUGCGCUUCAUUAUUUCAUCUCAAAGCUUUCCAUUGUGAUACAGUGCCAAAAGAUGAUUUCAUUGAACUUUCUAAACAUGUUGUAAAUUAUGCUGAUGGGCUCCUUUUAGCUCUUGAAGUUUUGGGUUACUUUUUGUGCAGUAGAGAUGCAACUCAAUGGAGAAGUGCAAUUGAAAGACUUAAAAGAGAUUCUAAUAAAGAAAUUCUCGAUAAACUUCGAAUCAGUUUUGAUGGAUUGGAAGAAAAGGGGAAGAAUAUAUUUCUAGAUAUAGCAUGUUUCUUCAAUAUGGAGGAGAAAGGGUCUGUAAUCAAAAUAUUGGAUGGUUGUGAGUUUUUUUUCAGAUAUUGGAAUUGAUGUUCUCAUUAAAAAAUAUCUCAUAAAAGUCUAUAACCAAUAUUUGUGGAUGCAUGACUUGUUGCAAGAAAUGGGAAGGAAAAUUGUUAGAGAAAAAUGUGUUGAUGAAACUGGAAAACAUUGCAAUUGUGGGAGGAAAUGGACGUCCAUCAUAUCCUAACAAAGAACACUGUAAGUCAUUCAAAAAAAGUUACAUACUAUUUCUUUUCCUUUUUAUAGAAUAUCCAAUCAAUAUAUAAUAUAAAUUCAAGGCUUAGUCAAAUUGGUAGAUAUGACAAUCCUUAAAAAGUGAUAUUUAGUAAUUUUAAGAUAAAUUAUAUUUGAUGUUUGUAGAAAUAAAUAUUUAAUUUCAUUGCAUUAAAAUCUCAAAAGUUUUAUGUUACAUUAUGCACCAUUUAUUUGUUUUUCUAUUUUUUGUUGUUGAUUUUUUUAGGCUACAGAAAUAAUUGAAGAGAUAAUCAUUAAUAAUAAAAGGUAAUAUGUAUAAAUUUGUAUCUUUGUGUAUUAUAAAUAAUAAUUUCAUUUUUUUAAACUCAAUAUUUCAUUGUUUAAUUAUAGAAUUUAUCUAGCAACAUAUUACUCUUUCAAAAGAAUCGAGAAAUAGGUAUUUUUUAAAUAUUAAUGGUAUAUAUUGAAUUAGAGGUGCUUAUGGGCUGGGUCAGGCUAUAUGCAAGGUAUUUAGACCACUUUUUCAAUCUUUGGCUCGACUCAAAAAAUGGAUUUAAUUUUUACCCAAUCUCGACCCGAUUUAAGAGAAUUAAAUUCAAGCCCAAUUUGGACCAUCCAUAUUUAAUUUUUUUAGAUUAAUUUUAUUUAAAAUUAAUUUUAAAUAUAUAUAUAUUGAGUACACUAAAAAAACUAAAAUGAAAGUUUUCUAACACAAUAAAAAGUAUUUAUAUUAAAAAAUACUACCAUAAAUAUAAUAAAUAUUUUAUUAUAUUAAAGAAUUAUGCAUUGUUUGUGGAUAAAAUAUAAAUCAGAAUAUUAAUUCAACUUUUUUUUUAAGAUUAGGUAAUUUGACAUUUGAUGUGACUGUUAGAUAUAUGUUUUAAUAUGGGUAUGUUUAAUUUUUUUUUUAGAAAGAAAAUUUUUUUUCAAAGAGUAUUUUGAUAUGCAUUAGAUAUAAGUAUUGGACACGGGUAUUUAAAUAAACAAUGUCGAUGCGAUAUAGCUUUUAGAUAUUUAAUGUCUUUGUACAUUUUGAAGUUUAUUUUUGUUUUGCUUAUGCUUAUUAGGGAAUCAAGCAAGAUACUCAAUUUUGAUGUAGAUACCUUCUUGAAAAAUGAAAAAAUUGAGAUUACUCAAAGUACAUUGCUUUUCAAAUUGUGAUAAUCUCAAAUAUAUUUCUAAUGAACUACAACUUUUAGAUUAGAAAGGAUGUCCUUAAAGUUUAUUACCUUCAAACUUUGAACUAGACAAUCUUAUCGCACAUCUCUUACCAUACAACUGCAUCGAACAACUAUGGAAAGAAAAUAGAGUAAGAAUUAACUCAUUUGAUCCUUGUGUUUUAGCUUAUUUUAAUAUAACUAAUUAAAAUUUGAUUAUGUUUUCUCUUUUCUCUCUAAUUUAUUGUUGUCUUCAACAACUCUUGUAUAAGUUGAAAAUGGUGAAUCUUAAAGUGUCCCAAAACCUGAUGAAGACACUGGACUUCACAAUAACAUCAAAUCUUGAAGUUUUGAUUUUGGAAGGUUGUACCAAAUUAGUGGAUGUUCAUCCAUCAAUCGGAGUACUUAAGAGUCUUAAACUUUUGAAUUUAAGAGAUUGCAAAAGUCUUAGGACUCUUCCAACCAAAAUUGGAAUGGAAUCUCUUGAAACAUUAAUUCUUUUGGGUUGCUCAAGCUUGUAAGGUUUCUGGAGAUUGAAAGGAAAAUGGAAUGUCUAAAAACUUUAGAUCUUUUCGAUUGUUAUAGAGUUGAAAAAUUAUCUGAGAAUUUAAAGCAUGCAAAGUUUUUGGAAGAGCUCAACUUGAGUGAAACAGCCAUAAUAGAACCACCAUCCUUCAUUUUUCAAUUUAAAAACCUUAAAGUUCUGUCUUCCAAUAGACACAAGAGACAAUCAUUUAAGUUACGACCAAAUUUGCCUUCUCUUUUUAAGGUAAUCCAAAGCAGAAAGACGAAUCCCAUGGCUCAGAUGCUGCUUUCAUUGUCAGGUUUGAGUUCAUUAACAACGCUAAAACUAAAGAACUGCAAUCUUUGUGAUGGAGAUAUUCCACGUGAUAUUUCGGGUCUAACCUGUUUGGAACAACUUAAUCUUAGUGGUAACAAUUUCAUCAGCAUGCCUGCAUCUCUUACUCGACUCUCUAAGCUUAAAUAUCUUAUAUUGUCUAACAGCAACAUGUGCACUCUUGGUUGAGCAGAUAUUCAUAGAGAUAUUUCUAGUCUAUCCUCUUUGAGUUAUCUUGAUCUUAGUGGUAACAAUUUCAUCACCAUUCCUUCGGCUCUUACUCAACUUUCCAUGUUCAAAACCCUUAUAUUGUUAGACCGCAGGAUGUUUAAAUUGUUUUCUGAGCUACCAACAAGUACAAAAAAGGUGUGGAUAGAUGGUUGUUCUUCACUUGAAGUAAUUGUAAGCCCAUCAAAAGUAUGCAAUUUAGUGUGUUGUGAUGACAUUAGAGCCAUUAACUGCUUCAAAUUGGCUGAUAAAUUCGAUGCAUUAACACUACUAAAAGAACAUAUUAAGGUCAAUUAAUCUCUGUUUUCUCCCUUACAAAAUCUCAUACUUGAGAAUUUAUGGUUUUAGUUACCAAACAACUUGUGUUUUAUUUUUCAGGCGAUUCGAUAUCCAAGAGAUUGGUUUGAUAGUGGAAUCUUUGAUAUUGUGAUGCCCGGAAGUGAAAUCCCAGAAUAGUUUAGCCAAUAAAAAAAUCACUCUUUGUUGAGCAUUGGCCUGAACUGCAACAAAAGACCAACAGUAGCAGCUUAGCAUCAAGACUAGUAGCAGCUCAAUUUAGAGAUCAGCAUUGGAGUUGAACCGAAUGCUAUGACUUCCUUAGUUCAUUUUUUUCAUUUUGUUCCUAUAUGUAACCUUGUUUAGUUUCCUUGUAAUUUGUCCAAAGUUAGUAGGAUUAGUUUUUUUAUUUGAAUUUGAUGUAAUAGCUGAUAUGUCAGCUUGCUUUUAUGUGUAAUUCAAGUUUGCAUUAGUAGGAGCUGUUAUGUCAUUAGGUAGCUAUCCAAUGUUAUGUAACUCACAUAUAUUUUCAAAUUUUAAAUGAAAAUUAUGGUGAAUUUUUCAAUUAUCAUUUUUACUAAAGCUCUAUUCUCUUUUUUCUUCGGUUCUUCUAUCUUUUUUUUUACUUUGUUUUCCUGCCAAAGAUCCAACAAAUGGUAAUUAGAGCCUGUCAUCUUUGAGGGCAUCUGUUUUUGGUUUUUUUUUUGUUAAAAUAAAAACUUGAAAGAAAUUAAAGCUGUUGAGUUUGUUUCAGCAGAAUGAGCUUCACACGACCUUCACCACCUGUGUUUACUGGAGAGAACUACCAUAUUUUGGUGGUUAAGAUGAAGACAUACCUUCAAGCACACGAUUUUGGGAAAAUGGUCGUGAAUGAUGUUGAUCCACCUUCAUUGAGGGCCAAUCCUACCAUUGCUCAAAUUAGGCAGUACAAUGAAGAGUGUGCCAAGAAGCACAAAGCAAUGACUUACUUACAUAAUAGAGUAUCUGAUGUGAUCUUGACUAGGAUAAUGGCCUGUGACUCACCCAAGCAAGCAUGGGAGAAACUGAAGGAGGAAUUCAUGGGAUCAUAUAAAACAAGGCAGCAACAAUUAAUCAAUCUCAGGAGAGAUUUUGAGAACCUAAAGAUAAAAGAGUCAAAAACCAUCAAGCAGUAUUCAGACAGGAUAAUGACCACUAUCAACAGCAUUAGGCUCUUGGAAGAAGAUUUCAGUGAGAGUAGAGUUGUUGAAAAGCUCAUCACCACUCUUCCUAAUAAGUUUGAGUCUAAAUUUUCAUCACUUGAGGACUCGAGAGAUUUGUCAACUAUUUCAUUGUCUGAGCUGAUAAAUUCCUUCUAUGCACUUGAGCAAAAGAGGGCCAAUAGGCAGGAAGAGCAUCCUGAAAUAGCUUUAUAAGAAACGGCCAAAGAAAGCUCAGGUUCAAACCAUAAAGGAAAUAAGCCUUGGCUCGAUAAAAAGGAGAAACCAAUGAGGGAUGCAGGCAAGAAAAGGUUUCCACCAUACAUUCACUGCAAGAAGACUACACACUUGGAAAAGUACUGUUGGUAUAGGCCAGACAUCCAGUGUAGAAGUUGCAAAUAGUUUGGCUAUAUUGAGAAGGUGUGCAGAAGUAAAGGGAAAGAACCAGCUCAACAGUAAAUUCAAGCUCGAGUUGCUAAGGAUCUUCAAGCUCAAGAGGAGCAUGUUUUCACAGCCUCCUACUUUGCAAUCUCAAGCAAAGUCAGAUGUGAUUUACUAGUGGAUAGUGGCUGCACACAACAUAUGGCAGCUGAUGAGAAGUUGUUCAAGGACCUUAAUAGAAGUUUUGCUGCAAAGAUCAAAACCGGUAAUGGGAAUCUGAUUGAACCCAAAGGCAGAGGAAAUAUUGUGAUCAACACUUGGUCAGGUAACAAAGUAAUUUUUGAUGUGUUUUUUGUGUCUAACAUAGAUCAAAACCUACUUAGUGUUGGAUAGUUAGUAGAAAAAAGGUAUUGAAUGGUCUUUAAAAAUGGUUCCUACAUUGUUAAAGACUCACAUGGUCAGGAAUUAGUCAUAGUAGAAAUGAAUGAUAGGUGCUUUAUGCUUUAUAUAAAUCAACUCAAGAAGAAGGGUUACACAAGUCUUAUUGAUAAUGCUGGUCGAUGGCACAAAAGGCUAGGCCAUGUCAACUAUAAAUCACUUGACUUACUACAUCAGUUGAACAUGGUUGAAGAUAUGUCCAAGGUUGAAGUCAGAGACACUGUUUGUGAAGUCUGCCAGUUUGGUAAGCAAGCUAGAUUACCUUUUCUUGUCAAUAAAGCAUGGAGGGCUCGAGACAAGCUUGAAUUGGUUUAUUCUGAUGUUUGUGGACCAAUGAAGAGUCCUUCCUUGAAUGACAGUAAGUACUUUGUUUCGUUCAUAGAUGAUUUAACUAGGUUUUGUUGGGUUUACUUCUUGAAACAGAAAUCAGAAGUGUUUGAAGCAUUCAACAAAUUCAAGGCUUUAGCUAAAAAUCAGACCGGUUGCAGAUUUAAGGCUUUAAGAUCAGACAAUGGCACUAAGUACUUGUCUAAAAGAUUUCGGAAGCUGUGUGAGCAAGCUGGGAUUUGCCAUCAGCUAACAAUAGUCUAUACUCCUCAACAGAAUAGAGUAUGUGAAAGGAAGAACAUGACAGUAGUGGACAUGGCUAGAUGUUUGCUAUUUGAAAGCAAGCUGCCAAGCAAAUUUUGGGCUGAGGCUGUGAACACCUUAGUAUAUCUGCUUAACAAGCUGCCAACUUAUGCUGUGAAAGAAAAGACACCUUUUGAAGCCUAGCAUGGAUUCAAGCCAACUGUUUCACACCUGAAGGUGUUUAGCUGUGACUGCUAUGCCCUCAUUCCAACAGAAAAAAGGACUAAGCUUGAAAGAAGGGUUGUUCCAGGGAUUUUUGUUGGUUAUAGUUGUACCAAGAAAGGUUAUAGAGUGUUUGAUCCUUCAACAAAGAAAAUUUUAGUGAGUAAGGAUGUAAAAUUUGAUGAAGAGGAGGUUUGGAGCUAGAAUGGUGCAAAUGCAAGUUUGAUUGAAGAAGAUCAGCUAGACUGUGUUUUUGAACCUGCUGAAGAAGGACCAAGCAAUGAAGCUUUUGAUGAUGUUCCUGUAAGAGGCAUCAGAACUAUUACUGACAUCUAACAAAGAUGUGAUAUUACAAUAGUUGAACCCUCUGAUUUUGAAGAAGCUACCAGAAAAACACUGGAAGAAUGCCAUGGAAGCUGAAUUAGAAAUGAUCCACAAGAAUGACACUUGGGAAUUGGUGGACAAACCAGAUCAUAAAAAGGUUAUUGGUGUCAAGUGGAUGUUUAGAGCCAAGUAUAAUGUUAAUGGCUCAUUAAAUAAGCACAAGGCAAGGCUUGUGGUGAAAGGCUACAGCUAGCAGUAUUAAGGUGAAGAAAUGUGGUAUUAGUGUAUAAGAAAGAUUUGGAAGAAAUAAAAGAGUUGCAGUGCCAUACUACUCAAUCUUCCCCAAAUUUUGAACACAUCCACCAACCCUCUGCUCACAACAAUGAGUCAAAAGGUAGCAUUUCUCACAUAAAACGAAAACUAUAUCUAUGAGGAAACGGAGGAAGAAGAGCCGCAACCAAAACGGAUGCAAAUAAUUUUCAAUUUUAUAUUGGGCCAAUCGAGUAAGAAGCAUUAACUGAGGUAAACUACUUAACGAACCUUGUUCUAUUAAUUUUUUCUUUAGACAUCUACAUUGUUUGCAUCUUGUAUUUCAUUUAAAGUAAAUCUUUUUAGAAUUGUUUACGUACGAGACAUAAUCCUUCCAUUAUAUAUCAAAAUAUUUUAAAUUUUUUAUUAAUACUCAUAUUCAAGAUGUACAUAUCCCAAAUACUGAUAACAUUGGUCUUUUUUUUUUUGUACCAUUUAAAAUUUUAGUCAAUUCAUUCCUUUAUACAUAAUUGAAAUGAUUGGCUUCAUUUUUUUAUUUAUUAAAAUUAUAUUUUCAUUAUAUAUUCACUUAUAUUUAUAUUUGAUUUGUAGGUUGAAGUAAAUAUAAUCAACUUGAGAUAGAAAUGUAGAAAAAAAAUGGAUAGCUUCAGUGAUGAAACGGGUAAUAAUAAGGUGAAAUCCUUCAAUGAGGAUUAAAUCAUAAUUUUAGCUGAGUUAAAAAUAAAUUCAUUUUUAUUUGAGAUAAACUUAUUUGUUCAAUUUAAUCAAUUAAAAUUUUAUAUAUAUAUAUUGGAAGAUUAAAUAUAAGUUCUUAAUUCUUUCUAAUAAAAGUACAAUUUAAAUUAUUUAUGUUUAGACAUUUGUUUUUAACAACUAUUCAAAUAUGAAUAUGAAGUAUGCUCUUUUAUUUAAUUGGAAAAUCUUUUCCAUGUGAGAGACAUAUUCAUAUCCAAUAUUUUUUUUCAAAAUUGAAUAGAUUCAAUUUUUGUUCUUAUCUAAUGUUAGAGUUUAAAGAAAUAAAGAUAUGGUUCUUGGGUGAGAUGAGCAAUAUUUUCAACAAUUGUAUUUUUUGUGAUAUGAAUAAAAAUUUAUUGAUUAGAGGUAAGUUAAUGUACCAAUAAUAUAUAUGAUUUCAAUGCAACAAAAAUAAUCUUGGUGUUUUAUUUUUAUCCCUAGACCAAUAGAAGAAUGAAAGUCUACUCAACGGAUCAUGCAAGUGAAGGACUAACAAAAGUCAUCAAGGUGAAAUGGAAGCGGAUAGGGAAUUAGGAUUUUGGAAAUAGAUUAUGCUAUUAUAUAAUUAGUUGUUGUAUUUUUAUGUAAUUUAUACUAUUUUAAAUGAGUUGUUUGAAAUUGCGUUUAUAAAAUUUGACACUGCUAUUUGGGUCUCAACAUUUUAUUUUGAGUCAACUUAUGAAUUUUUAAUCUAAAAUGUGUUGAUUGAACCAUUAAUUUAAUAGUGUUGUCGUGGUUGAAUAGUAAAUUCAUUACAAUUUAACAUUAAACUUUUAAUUCUUGUCUCAAUCAGACUUCUUUUCCUCUAACUCAAAGAGAAGAUAAAAGUGAAGAAAAUUCUAUUUAAUCGGGGCACAAUUAUGAUUGUUUUAAAUGAUUUAACUAUUCAAAUUAAAAACCAGUAAAAUGAAAUUAUCAAAUGUUAACCUCGAUUUCACAGAGCAAAUGUUAUAACCUUACAAAAGAUAUAUGAAAUAUUGAGAUUCAAACAAUUGAUAAGUUUUAAUGUUCUUAAAGACAAUUGGACGAAACAUUAACUAAAUCUCAAGUUAUAUUUUAGAGUGGAUUUGUCCUUUUAAUACAUAAUAAUAGAAUGAAUAGGACGAUCUUCAAACUCCAACAAGAACAAUGGGGGCUUUCAAGGCUUAUAAACCAGUUUCCGCCCUGCAAUACUCUUGGCCUUUAAAGCUGCAAAACACUCUAUCAACAAAUCUUUUGAAUUUGGAUCAUAAAUCUUAAAAUGAAACAAAUGAAAGAAAUUCUUUAAUUUAACUUCACCGACCAUGAGGUACAAAUGACUCAGUAAUUCUUAAUUCAACUUUACCAAAUGCAUAUAUAUUAGUGCAUGUGUUUGUUUUCCCAGUUCUUACAAGCUCAGGAGCCAUGUAACCAAGUUUACACGUGAGGUUUGAGAGAAUCAUUUCCAAGGUUGCAUAGCUUUGCAAGCCCGUAAUCCCCCAAUUGGGCAUUCAUGUCACAGCCUAUCAGCACAUUGGCAGGCUUGAUAUCUCUAUGAAUGAUGACUUGCACCCAUUGCUGGACACGCGCUCAAAGUUCAAAAAGCCAUGAGCAAACAAAGCAUAAAGCUUUUCAAUCACAAGGAAAUAAUUUGAAAGUUCCCAACUAAGGGAUCUCGCAAGAAACAUCUUAAAACCCAAUAUACGACCUUGAACUCAAAAAACUUAACUCGAAACACCCACUAAUUAUUAGGGAAUAAUAUAGUUUCUGUUAUUAGUUAGCAUUAGUUAUAGUUAGUUAUAGAAGCAGUUAAGGAACGGUAGUUACUCUUGCAUCAAAUAUGUGUAAUCAGCUUGAGAUAAGAAAGUGUGGAAGUAUUAUUCUUCUUUCCCGUGUAUUCUGAAUCUUAGCAUGGUAUCAAGAGCUAGGGUUUUUCUUUCUUUCUUUUGUCUUCCAUGGCUACGGAUACAUUUUCGAAUGGAGCACCUGUACCUGACACACCGCGUCAUUCCUCCAACACUAGGGAGGCUGAACAUUCGCAAGGAAAUGGCAUGGUUUUUGCACUGGCAGUUCAUUAUUUCUCCAAGCAUGAUACCAUAAAACUGUCUUCUCAUAUUUUUUUAUGGAAACAUCAACUUUUGUUGAUUCUUGAAGGCUAUGGUCUUGAAGGGUUUGUGCUAAGUAAUACUCAUUCUCCUCUUGUUUUUGUUAUUGGUUCUGAUGGUCAACAGGUUGAAAAUCCAGCCUUUCUUGUUCAUAGGAAGCAAGAUAAAUUUCUAAAUUCCUGGCUAUUAUCAACUGUUACAGACGAUAUUUUAGCUCAUCUUACAACUGCUAAAACAAGCUUUGAUAUAUGGACUACCAUUGAGAGGAGGUUUAGUGUAAAAUCAACAAUAAAGAUCUCGAGCAUGCAUCAUACGUUAUACUCACUAAAGAAAGUAAAUCUUUCUGUUAAAGACUAUAUGUCUAAGGUGAAACAGCUUAGCGAUGACUUGACUGCUGCUAGUAGUUUUAUUUCUGAGCAAGAACAAGUGAGCGUUAUCUUAGCUAGCUUGUAAGUUGAGUUUGAGUCUAUUCAGGUUUUUGCCUCUGUUACUCCGUUAUUUCUUAACUUGUUAACAGAGAUGUUACUUGAUUGUGAAUCACGUUAAUUGGAGUUGUUAACAGAAGCUCCUUGUCAAGCGAAUUUAGAAACUCGGCAUUCUGACAAUGAGGAUGGUUUGAAACAGUCUGUUGAGUCUCCAAGAUAUUCUCAGGGUUCUAAGCAAAGCUAUAGAGGACAGGGUCGAGGCUAGACUCGUAAGAAAUCUCGUGGUAAUGGACGGGGUUAGUUUCGCACUAAGCCACAGUGCCAAUUAUGUGGAAAGGUGGGCCACAUGGUUCAGACCUGUUAUCAUAAGUUUGAUGAAAAUUUUUCUAGUGUUGUAGGGUCAAACUCAGUACAAGUUAAUUGUCAUCAGUUGCAUGGAUCUGGUUGUUCUUCUUUGGUUCCUACUUGCCAAAUGUUAUCUCAUUGUUGUGUUCGUUCUCUCCAAGUUCAUCUAGUCACUUACCUUUUUGACUGUUAACGUCUUCACAGUCUAAUUCCAUUUGGUAUCCUGAUUCUGGUGCAACGAACCACAUUACACCUAAAGUGUCCAACCUCACGUCUGCCUCUCCAUAUGCAGGUAAAAAUCAUGUUACUAUGGGCAAUGGUGAGUCUGUUUUAAUUGCUAAUGUAGGCUCGUCCACUCUCUUAGUUGGGGCCAAACUUCUCUGCCUUCAGAAUGUUUUACAUGUUCCUGGAGUAUGCAAGAACUUGAUGUCUGUGGCUCAAUUUGCCAAAGAUAAUGGUGUUUGCUUUGAGUUUCACCCAGUCUUGUGUUUUGUGAAGGACAUUCAGACAGGAAUGACGUUGCUCGAGGGCCACAUGCAUGAAGGGUUAUACAGAUUUCAGUUCACUAAGUCUACUCCUACUGCUACGUUGACCUCGAAGCCUAACUCUAGUUUAGUGAACAGUGCUCAGCUAUCUUCCUCUACCUUAUGGCACGAUCAGCUUGGCGAUCCUUGUAAUGUCGUUUUGGCUAAUGUGUUGAAAUCUUGUAAUGUUUCUUUCAAACAGAAUACUUUGAGUAAUGUUUGUACAGCCUGUCAGCUAGGCAAAGCUCACAAGCUUCCUUUUUCAACUUUAAAAAUAGUGUAUUCAAUUCUUUUCGAACUUGUGGUAUCCGAUGUAUGAGGCCCUGCUCAUUUGUCUUCAAAGGGUUUUCAUUACUAUGUCUCAUUCAUUGACAUGUAUAGUAGAUACACUUGGGUUUAUUUUCUCAGAAAUAAGUCAGAAGUGGCCCAAUGUUUCUUGAAUUUUCAUCAGAUGGUUAGAAUUCAAUUUGGCUAUUCUAUUAAGAUGCUCCAAACUGAUGAGGGAGGUGAAUAUCGUGUUUUGUCUGCAGAAUUAUCUCGACUUGGUGUGCAGUACAGGGUUACUUGUCCCUAUACCUCGAAGUAAAAUGGUGUUGCUGAGAGGAAACAUCACCAGCUAGUUGACAUGGGUUUAUCUCUCUUAGCACGGGCCAGUAUACCUUUAAAGUUUUGGUUUUAUGCCUUUUUGCAUGCUGUUUAUUUGACUAACAGGCUACCUACUCCUGUUUUAUGUCACUCUAGUCCUUAUGAAGUGCUUUACAAGAUCAAACCUGACUAUAGCUCACUAGGGGUGUUUGGAUGUUCUUGCUUCCCUGAUCUUAGACUUUUUCAACAAUACAAGUUGAGUUUUCGGUCAUAACAAUGUGUGUUUCUUGGAAGUGUUCCUCACACCAAAGGCUAUAGGUGUCUUGCUGUAAAUGACCGACUUUUUCUAUCUCGACAUGUUACGUUUGAUGAAACCAAGUUUCCAUUUCGUGAUGGUUUGUAUAAGGAGUCUCCAGCAGAAUAUGUUUAAAAGGUGGCAACGACAGCAGCAAGUUGAAGAAUCCAUGCAAACUUACGUUGCAUGCAUGAAACCAGAAACUCGGCUGAAGCAUGUUGGAAUCCGUUGUGCAAUUCGACAAGCCUUGUCCUUCUAGUUGACUUUUGUUAGUCUAUGGUGUAAUCAUUGUAUGUUUUGAUCAGCUAAGGUUAAAAUGUGUGCUUAGCUGAUUUAGUAGUCAAAUUAGGUUGUCAUUUUGUUGAUGUAAACCUUUAGUUACUUGCACAAGCAAGCUGUGUUUUCUUUCUAUGUAACUUUGUUCUAUUUAUGUUUGUAACCAUGCACUUAUUCGGGUAAUGAGGAAAAACUUUUUUCUCAUUCAUCUUUUGCUUGUUCUUGCUCCGGUUUUAAGCUUUCAAACAUCUAAAACAUUCAUCUAAGUUGUUUUUUAAACUUUGUUUGCUAAGUUGAAUCCAACAGAAUAUGUAAUGGGGCAUCAUCGUGGUUCUAUACUUCCUUUAGUUAAGCCUCUUGCUCCUGAUGUGUCCACUCCAGCACAAGCAUCUUUAAGUUCAAACAAACACUCUCGAAUAAAAGUUUUUUUCUGACUAGUUGCACCUAAAUCAGUCUUCUUCUAGUAUCUCUGCUAGCUCUCCUAUAGCAGUUGAGUUGAGCAACCUGUAGCAGCUUCAUCCUCUCCAGUGCAUCUGAAUUGUCAUCCUACGCAGAUUCACUCCAAAAAUGGCAUAUUUCGACCAAGUUGAUAUAAAUAACGCGUUCUUAAAUGGGGAUUUGAGUGAAUAGUGUGGUUCGAAUGGUGAGCCUCUUAUAUGUAAGUUGAAGAAGGCUCUAUAUGGUCUCAAGCAAGCCCUUCGAGCUAGGUUUCAGAAGCUAAGGGAACUUUUGGUUGCCAAGAGAUUUGAGGUAUCCAAGGCAGAUAGCUCUCUCUUCAUUCUUCAAUCAGGUGCCCAGUUAUUGUAUGUCCUAGUUUACGUUGAUGACAUUAUCGUCACUGGCAAUGAUUCUCAGGUUGUGGAUCAUUUUGUCACCAAAAUUAAUGCUCGAUUUUCUUUGAAAGACUUAGGAAGCUAAGCUAUUUCCUUGGCAUAGAGGUUAAGUACACAACAGAAUGAGUGUUUCUGUCGCAGGUAAAGUACAUUCAAAACUUACUUUGCAAAGCCUCCAUGGAUCGAUCCAAUGCUCUUCCUACACCAAUGGUCACAAAUUGCCAUUUGUCAACUACUGAUGGGAGUCCUAUUGAGGAUGAACGUCAUUACAGGAGCAUUGUUGGUGCCUUACAGUACAUGGUGAUAACCAGGCCCGACAUUGCUUACUCAGUAAAUAAAAUGUGUCAGUUCAUGCAUAAGCCAUUAGAUGUACACUUCAAAGCAGUCAAAAAGAUAUUGCAGUAUUUACAAGAGACAUUGGGCUAUGGUUUAAAAUUCACUCGAGCAUCUAAAUUUCUACUUAAAGGUUAUUCCGACGCUAGUUAGGGGUCUGAUGUUGAUAACCGCAGGUCAACCUCUGGAUUUUGUGUUUUUCUUGGGGGGAAUCCGGUCUCUUAGAGCUCCAAGAAACAACAGGUGGUCUCCCGAUCUACAGCAGAGGCAGAGUACAGAAGUGUUGCUCACAUAGCUGCGGAAAUGAUUUGGAUCCAGUCAUUGUUACGUGAAUUGUGUGUUCCACUGUUGUCCAAGGCUUUAAUCUGGUGUGAUAGUUCAGCAGCGGUAGCAGUAGCAGGAAAUCCUGUUAUGCACUCCAAAUUCAAGCAUGUGGAAUUGGAUGUGUUUUUUGUCAGAGAAAAGGUAGCAGCUGGGGUCCUUCAGGUUGGCCAUGUUCCAAGUUCUUACCAGAUUGUAGACAUACUAACAAAACCACUAUCGGUAUCAGUGUUUAAUAGGUUUCGAAGUCAGCUUUGUGUUGUUAACAUGUCUUAGAAGGAGUUUGUUCAGCAAGAUGAAAGAUAAGUACGGGGAAUAUUAGGGAAUAAUAUAGUUUUUGGUAUUUGUUAGCAUUAGUUAUAGUUAGUUAUAGAAGCAGUUAAGGAACGGUUGUUACUCUUGCAUUAAAUAUGUGUAAUCAGCUUGAGAGAAGAAAGUGUGGAAGUAUUAUUCUUCUUUCCCGUGUAUUCUGAAUCUUAGCACUAAUUAGCUCAAGAAUUCCUUUCCAGGGUGAAUGAAUGGCUAAACAAAGGCAAUAGUAACUCAUUCCCGGUACAUGGUAAGAGGAACUUGCAUGUUAAUCAUGUCUAUUGACUAGCAUUUCCACGAAGAAGUAGUUUGCAUAACGAAAUCCCUUCCAAAGUCGCACUACUACAAGUGCCUGAGUAUCAAAGAGCAAUAUACUACCAAGUGAAUUUGUGAUAGCAUCAAAAUGACACUGGGUAAUAAGGUGAGCUUUUCACCCUUUCUUAGUAGUCCAAUGUUAUUUAUAUUCACUACAAAUUUAAUCAAUUCAACUUGAAUUUCAUUUCACUUUAUUGAUCAAUUCGAAAAAAAUUCAAAUCAAAUUAAGAUGAUAAAAUAGGACUCCUCAACUUGACUAACUCAAAAUUUUUUUUUACUUGAUUGGACUAGAUUCGGUUGAAUUCUCACCCCUAGGCAAGCAAAGAUUUUAUGAGGCGAGCCAAGUCUUAACUUUUUAUGCUUACUCAAGCUCGGUUCGAUCCAAAAUAUAGACUUCAAAUUUUGUUCAAGCCCAUCCACAUUUGUAAAUAACUAAUUUAAAUUCGUUUUAAGUUUGUCCAUAUUAUUAUUUUUUACAAGAUCCAUAUUAUAUUUUAGAAAAAUAUUUUUAUUUAAUAUUUAAUAUUUAAUAUUUAUAUUUUUUCUUUUAUUAGAAUUUUAAACAUCAACAAUGGUUAGGACUAAGGUUAUCCAAGAAUUGAAGACUCGAUAAUUAAUCAAUUAAGACCUGAUCAAUCUAGACAUUGUCACAACUUGAGUGUUUUAUUGGUAUAUUAGUAUUUUUCAGGUCUUGUACUUUUAUUCAAAUCCUACCAUAUUUAGAAUGAGUAUUUGAGGUUGGGUGAAUAGAUCCACCCUUAAAUAUGUUUAUUUUGAAAUUAAUCAUAAUGUUGAAUUUUAACUUUGAGAUAUAACUCCAGACAAAAAAAAAACAAGUUAGAUAAAAUUAUUGUUCAAGUGAUGAAGGACUCAAUAAAAAGUCUUUAAUUAACACUAAUCUCAAGUAAAUGCGCCAAAGGUAGGGUCAGGUUCAAGCAUAUGUAUAGUAUUAGCAUAAUGCAUGCUUGCUCAAACCCAAUUUGGCUCAAAAUAUUAUCUACAACAUUGUUCAAGUCAUGCUUAUAUUUUAAAUGAAACUUUUUUUUUGUCUAAAGCCCUAUUUUUGAGUUUAAACCUUUCAAAAUUCUAAAAUUAAAUUUAUUUUAUAUGUUGAUUUAUAUAAUAUAUAAAAACAACUCCUAUAAGAGUUUUAGGGAAAUAAAUAGUUGAAAAUAUACCUUCACAUUUCUGAUUCUUUUGGUGAAUAUAGAUAAAAAUAGGUUUAUUGAGCUAAAUAAAAUGGCAAAAUAAAUAUUGUGAAAUUUAAAUAAUAAUUAAAAAUAAUUAUUCUUUAUAAUAAUUUUUGUCUCUAAAAUUUAAAUUUAAGUAUAUAUUUCUAAAUGUAAUGUGUUAUGUCAUGCACUCAACACUUACGUAAUAAAAAGUAUUUUAAAUAAUAAUAAAAAAUGUCACAUAAACAAAAAUUAACAACAAAUUUAAUUCCCUUAAUUGAAGAUUACUUUCAAUCAUUUGAAUCUCUCAAAAUUGUUGACAUUAAUGGUGAGCCAAUUGAUCCUACCUCGCACAACAUCCAAGUGUCAGCAUGGCGAUAAUCUCUCAAUGUACGAUUUGUUAUUGCCCCGGCCGUCAGAUAAGAGGUUUGAGCUCCUCUAGAUUCGAAAGACUUAUAAGGUGGAUUUUCAAAGAGAGGAUUAUUACACGACAGAUCGAAAAUCGAUAAUUUGACUUGCGGUGGGUCCUCUUUUGGAAGUUACCCAUGCCUCACAUUGGUUACAAUCCUUUCUAGCUGGAAAUCACAUGGGGCUAACUCAUUACCCAAACAUGCAAAAAUCAACGCGAUUCAACUUAUCACACACAAAGCUACCUAGAAACGACGACAACAACUUAAUCAUGCACAUCAAUAUUCGUACAUCAAGUAUAGAAUUAGCACGAAAUAUAGAAAUAAAUAACUAUUUUAUAAAUAUACUCUUAAUUUUUUUUAUUUUUUUAAGUAUAACAAAUACAAUACAAUUACAAUAAUUAAACAACAUAAAACAUCAUAAUUAAGCAAAAAGGAGUAAUGUACGAAAUAUCCACGUUACCCUCAGGCCCGUUCUUGAUAUUUUUAAGGUCUUAGGCGAAACAAUAAAUCGAACCCUUUUAAAAAAAAUUAUAAAAUGCAAUAUAAUAAAAUAAAAUCAUAUACCAGUAAUUUCAUUAAAAUAAUAUCUAUGGCAUUAAGCGAAUAAUAUAUUUUUCUAACAAAAUUAAAAUACAAAUAUAUUUGCCAUUCAAUCUACUCCUAUGUCAUCAACUAUAAAAAACACAAAAAAUCAUAAAAAUAGAUUCUACGAACAUUUUGAUAUGCAAAAUCAUUAGAAAAAUUGGAAACUUAAUAUAUAUAUAAAUUUAAAAACAGGAGCGAAAUUAGUGGGUGCGGCAGGUUCGGUCUCUCUAAAAAUGAAUUUUUUUUAUUUAAGGUCUUUAAAAUUUUUAAUUAGUAAAAGUAAAAUAAUAAAUUGAUCAGUAAAAGUAAAAUAAUAAAUUGAUCCCUAAAAAUAUAAAAAUUUGAUUUAAUCAUUCAAAAAUUAUAAAAAUAUAAUUUCGGCCCCAAAAAAAUUCCUGAUUUCACCCUUGCUUAAAACCAUUGCUUCAAGAUUAAAACCAACGGGAUCAAGUUUCCCAAGAAAAGAAUAAAAAGCAGGAUAAGUAAUUAAUAUACAAACUCGAGUUAUUAGUCGAGUCGAAUACGAACUUAGUAAUACUCCGUUCAAAUAGUUCACAAGUCGUAUCUAACUUUUUAAUUUUAACAUACAUUUUAAAUAUUUUUAUAUUAUUAAAUUAUAUUAUUUCUUUAAUAUAUAUUAUUAACUUUAAGUUUAAUUAUCGAGUUGAGCUCGAGCUCGAACACAUAUAAGUUUAAUCGGGCUCAAGUUAAAUGUUGAGUAUAAAAAAUUAUUUUUAAUUUUUCUGAAAUGUUUACAAAUAUCCAUAGUAUACAUUUGUAAUUCCCCAUGCUAUACAAAGUUCUUAUUGACUUGAUCACUCAUAUUCACAUUAGUCCCUCUCAUCCUCAUUCCCGCUAACUUCUUUAUUUUUCCCAAGUAAUAUAAGGUGUAAUAAAAAGUAGAUUGAAUGACUAUGAAUUAUUUUGGGUUUGACGAACAUAUUACAUAAUUGUCAUUCUUAAAGUUAGCUUGAUGGUGAAUCGAAGGUGACAGUCUGGAUUUGUUCAUAUUCUAAGGUUACAUUGGUAUUCUCCCCACUUAAUAUACUAAACAACCUACUGUGUAAAGAGUGUGCUCAAAUUGAUGGUCACAUGCUUCAAAAUUAUAUUUUAAUUAUUAUUGUCAUAAUCUUAUAAUUAAAUACGUAAAAUACAAACCGACCAACAUUUUUAAUUAUUACCUAUAAUUAAAGUAGACUCCACUUUGCCAACUCUCACCUUCUUGGAAACAACAUCCAUCGCUCAUCUUUGACCCCUAAUUUCCGCCCCUAUGCUCCUAUACUUACUUUUCUAGUUUCUUUGUGGGUAUUGGGCCACCUAUUUUCUGAUUUUGAACACCAGAUUGAGAAAUUCUUCUCCUUUCAUGCAUCCUCAUGUUGUCCUUACCUUCAACUUCUUCCUCCUUUUCUAAAAAGAAAUAUGAUGUUUUAGAGGUGAAGAUACUCGCAACAACUUCACGGAUCAUCUUUAUGAUGCUAUAACUAAUAGAAAAGUCAACACUAUUAAUUAUAUGUCUAACUGAUAACAUUAUAAAAAUAUAUGAUUAAAUUAGGUUAGAAAUUAAAUCUUAAAUUUAGGCAUAAUAAAAAAAACUAAAAUUGAAAUUCUAACAUUUUCUUGUAAUGUAAAAGAAAAAAAUCCUAUACAUUAAAUUAAUAAAUUGUAUUCAUACAUAAAAUAUUAUGAUAGUGAGUAAAUAUAAGUUAUUUUAGUCUGCACCUAAUGAACAUUUUAAAUGCUUCAAAUAGAACUUAAUCAUAUAAAACGCAAAAUGUGAGGGACCGAAUUUAAAAUAAUGCAUUGUCCUCCAAAUACUCCUUUAAUUUAUAGUUAUAUAGACAAUUAUAUGAUUAUGUAAAUGAAAGUAAAACACAAACCGUCCAACACUCUACUUAUUACUUAGAAUUAUUGUACGCUCCAUUUUGUCAACACCCACCUUCUUGGAUUCUUCCUGGGAAGAACAUGCAUCACCCAAUGUCCACACCUACUCGUAUUCAUUUCGAAAAUGAAAAGGUUAUAGAGAAAUUGCUUAGAAACGUCCUUUAUUCUUCCCUGGAAUUUUUCAUCUGUUUUUCUCAAUCUUCACUCUCAUAUACUUAUUGUUUCUAGUUCCUUUCUGGCGUAUUGAGCGAUCAAUUUUCUGAUUUUGAACACUACAUCCACAUAUAUAUUUUUCUUCUCAAACAUCGUCAUGUUGCCAUUACCUUCAACGUCCUCAUCCAUUUCUAGAAAGAAAUAUGAUGUUUUCUUGAGUUUUAGAGGUGAAGAUACCCGCAACAAGUUUACCGAUCAUCUCUAUGAUGCUUUAAGUAGGAGUGGGAUCGUCACUUUCAGGGAUGAUCCAAAGCUGGAGGCCAGCGAAGAGAUCGCGCCAGAACUCUUUAAAGCAAUUCAGCAAUCAUGGUGUUCAGUAAUCGUUUUUUCACAAACUUAUGCCUUUUCAAGUUGGUGCUUGGAGGAGCUUGCUGAGAUUGUUAAACAACAUAACAACGACAGCCAUAAAGUGUUUCCAAUUUUUUACGAUGUUGAUCCAUCUGAUUUAAGAAAACAAAAAGGGAAAGUGGAAGAAGCCUUUGCCGGACAUGAAGAGAGAUACAAAGAAGAAAGUGAGAAGAUCCAAAGGUGGCGAAAUGCUUUAAUUCAAGUGGCUGGAAUCAAGGGUUGGCAUUUAAAUAACAGGUAAUUCUUUCUUUUCUUAUCUACUUUCUAGUUUUUUGGAUAUAUAUAUGUAUGUAUGUAUAAUUUUUUUUUCCCCCUAAUCCUAUGUGUUUAAUUGAAAAGUGUCAUAUUUCAAUGAAAGAGCAAAUUUUGUCUUCUGGCUCCGCAACAGAUCUUGCUUUCUUAUUUUUGGUUCUUGUUUGCUCCGAAACUAUAUUAUGUUUCAUGAUUCAUUGAAAAAGAAGUGCACUCGAAACAUAUCAAUAAAAUUUUACUCAAAACAUUAAAAUUUCAUUUUUUUUAGGCCUGAAUCAAAAUUUAUUGGAGACAUUGUUAAGAAGAUAUCAGCAAAACUACGUCAGACAUAUCCAGUUACUCAUAGCGACUUGGUUGGUAUUAGUGAACGCUUGGAGGAUUUGUAUUUGAAAAUAAACAUUGGGGAAGAUGAUAUCCGCGUUAUAGGAAUUUACGGAAUGGGUGGCAUCGGUAAAACGACACUCGCAAGAGUUGCUUACACUCAAAUGUCACCUUAUUUUGAAGGCAAAAGUUUCAUUGCUGAUAUUCGAGAAGUUUCAGACAAAUGCGGACUAGUUUCUUUACAGAAACAACUUCUUUCACAGAUCUUUCAUGGUGAAUGCUUCAACUUUUUCAAUGUUCAUGAUGGAAAUUACACAAUUAGCCAUAGGUUGUCUCACAAAAAGGUUCUUGUUGUUCUUGAUAAUGUUGAUAACAUACAACACCUAAAAUGCUUGGUUGGAAGGCGUGAUUGGUUCGGAUUAGGGAGUAGAAUCAUUGUAACAACAAGAGACGAACAUUUGCUUCGAUGUUGCCAAGUUGAUGAUGUGUAUAUGCCCACAACACUGAAUCCCAAAGAUGCGCUUCAACUUUUGUAUCUCAAAGCUUUCCAUAGUGAUACAGUGCCGAAAGAUGAUUUCAUUGAACUUUCUAAACAUGUUGUAAAUUAUGCUGGUGGACUCCCUUUGGCUCUUGAAGUUUUUGGUUCCUUUUUGUGCGGUAGAGAUGCAACGCAAUGGAGAAGUGCGAUUGAAAGACUUAAAAGUGAUUCUAAUAAAGAAAUUCUCAAUACACUUCGAAUCAGUUUUGAUGGACUCGAAGAAAGGGAUAAGAAUAUAUUUUUAGAUAUAGCAUGCUUCUUCAACUGGGAGAAGAAAGAUUUUGUAAUGAAAGUAUUGGGUGGUUGUGAGUUUUUCUCCGAUAUUGGAAUUGAUAUUCUCAUUGAGAAAUCUUUAAUAAAAGUCGAUGGUGGCAACCAAUAUUUGUGGAUGCAUAGCUUGUUGCAAGAAAUGGGAAGAAAAAUUGUUACAGAAAAAUGUAUUGAUGAACCUGGAAAACGUUGCAGAUUGUGGGAGGAAAAGGACGUCCAUCAUGUCUUAACAAAAAACACUGUAAGUCAUUCAACAAAAGUUACAUACUAUUUCUUUUCUAUCCUACAUUAUUCACCAUUUAUUUUAUUUUUUUUAUUGUCUAUUCUUGAUCUUUUUUAGGCUACAGAAAUGAUUGAAGGCAUAAUCAUCGAUAAUAAAAGGUAAGAAGACACACAUAAACUUAUAUCUAUAUGUACUGUAAAUAAUUAUUUAUUUUAAAUAUGAUAAAAAAAACUAUAGUAAAACUUUUGACGUUCAAUAUUUGAAUUUUUAAUUAUAAAAUUUAUCUAGCAACAUAUUUACUUUUUCAAAAGAAUCAAAAAGAAAUGUAUAUAUUUUUGAAAUAUUAAUGGUAUUUUUUUUGGUGAAAGUUAAUGGUAUAUAUUUAAUGUACUAAAAGUGUAUAUCAACGAAUUAUAUUAUAACAUGUCAUCAAAUUUUUUUUAAUGAAAAUUGUUUCAUUUUUAAUUAUGUGUCAGUGUUCGGUUCAUUAACUUGUAAAUUAUGCAUUGUUUGCGGACCAAAUAUAAAUCAACAUAUUAAUUCAAUUUUUUAGGAUUAGGUAGUUUAACAUCGGAUGUGAUUGUUAGAUAUAAGUAUCUCUUUAAUAUGGGUAUAUUAAAAAAAUUUAAAAAUUAUUUUUUUCACGUAUUUAAGAGGUUCUUAAAGGAUCAUCUCUUAAUACCCAUAUACGAAUAUACAUUAGAUAUAAGUAUUGGAUACGAGCAGUACUUAAAAAACAAUAUCGAUGCAACAUUUCUUUUAGAUAUUGAAUGUUUUUGCAUAUUUUGAAGCUCAUUUUUGUUUUGCUCAUGGAUAUUAGGGAAUCGAACAAGAUGUUCAAUUUAAGUGUGGAUACCUUCUUGAAGAUGAAAAAACUGAGAUUGCUCAAAGUGCUUUGCCUUUCAAAUUGUGAUGAUCUCAAAUAUCUUUCUAAUGAACUACGACUUUUAAAUUGGACAGGAUACCCUUUAAGAUACUUGCCUUCAAGCUUUCAACCAGACAACCUUGUUGCACUUCUUUUACCAUAUAGUCACAUUCAACAACUAUGGAAGGGAAAUAGAGUAAGAAUUAACUCAUCUUAUCCUUGUGUUUUAGCUUAUUUUAAUAUAAAUUAUUAAACUUUGAUUAAGGUAAAAAAAAACAAAACAAAAAUGAGCAUUAUUAUGUUUUCUCAUUUGUUUCUAAUUUAUUAUGGUCUUCAACAGCCCUUGUUUAACUUGAAAAUAAUGAACCUCAAAGGGUCUCAAAACCUGAUCAAGACACCAGACUUCACAACAGCAUCAAAUCUUGAAGUUUUGAUUUUGAAAGGUUGUACCAAAUUAGUGGAUGUUCAUCCAUCAAUCGGGGUGCUUAAGAGCCUUAAACUUUUGAAUUUAAGAGAUUGCAGAAGUCUUAGGACUCUUCCAACCAAAAUUGGAAUGGAAUCUCUAGAAACAUUAAUUCUUUCGGGUUGCUCAAGUCUUAUAAGGUUUCCGGAGAUUGAUGGGAAAAUGGAACGUCUAAAAACUCUAGAUCUUUCCGGUUGUUAUAGAGUGGAAAAUUUAUCGGAGAAUUUGCAGCAAGCAAAGUUUUUGGAAGAGCUCGACUUGAGUGAAACAGCCAUAACAGAACCACCAUCCUUCAUUUUUCAAUUUAAAAAUCUUAAAGUUCUGUCUUUCAAUGGGCGCAAGGGACCAUCAUAUAAGUUACUACCAAAAUUUCCUUUUCUUUUCAAGGUAAUCCAAGGAAGAAGGACGAAUCCCAUGGCUCGGAUGUUGCCUUUGUUGUCAGGUUUGAGUUCUUUAAGAGAGCUAAAACUAAGGGACUGCAAUCUUUGUGAAGGAGAUAUUCCACCUGAUAUUUCUGGUCUAUCCUGUUUGGAAAUACUUGAUCUUAGUGGUAACAAUUUCAUCAGCAUACCUGCAUCUCUUACUCGACUCUCGAAGCUUGAAAUUCUGCGAUUGUCAAAUUGUAACAUGUGCACUUUUGGUGAAGCAGAUACUCAUAGUGAUAUUUCUGGUCUAUCCUCUUUGAAUAUACUUAAUCUUAGUGAUAACAAUUUCAUCAGCAUACCUGCAUCUCUUACUCGACUGUCGAAUCUCGGAAAUCUUAUAUUGUCAAAUUGCAACAUUUGCACUUUUGGUGAAGCAGAUACUCAUGGUGAUAUUUCUGGUCUAUCCUCUUUGAGUUAUCUUAAUCUUAGUGGUAAGAAUUUCAUCACCCUUCCUUUGGCUCUUACUCAACUUUCCAGGCUCAAAUUGCUUAAAUUGUCAGGUUGCAAGAUGCUUAAAUCGUUGCCUGAGCUACCAACACGUAUAGCACUUUUGAAAAUAGAAGGUUGUUCUUCACUUGAAGUAGUUGCAAGUCCAUCAAAAGUAGUACGCAAUUUAGUGGGUGGUGUUGACAUUUGUGCCACUAACUGCUUCAAAUUGGCUGAGGAAAUCAAUGCAGUAAUGCUGCUGAAAGAACAUAUUAAGGUCUAUUAAUCUAUUUUUUCUCCCUUACAAAAUCUCAUACUUGAGAAUUUAUGGUUUUAGUUACCAAACGACUUGUUUUUUAUUUUGCAGGCGGUUCAAUGGUUUGAUAGAAGUGACUCCUUUAAAAUUAUAAUUCCCGGAAGUGAAAUUCCAGAAUGGUUUAGCCAACAAAAAAGUGACUCUUCAAUUAAGAUACCCCUACCUAUCAACCAGCUUUGGAAAGAUAGUCAAUGGAUUGGAGUUGCUUGUUGCUGCAUUUUUGUCAAUAAUGAUGCUUCAAUGCAUGACGAGUCUAUCGGUUGUGGAGUAAAUAUCUAUUGUAGAAAUUCUGAACAAGCCAGCUGUAAUGGAUCUAUUUUUCGAGGUAGAAAUUAUGAACUGAUUAAUUGGAGUGGCUGGGGGCUAGACGAACCAAUAAUGAAAGAUCACCUUUUUCUUCGUUAUUGGUCGCGUGAUAACUUCUAUCCUUCCUUGGAGGAUGAAUAUGACGACUGUGAAACCACUAAUUUAUGGACAACACAUUGCUUAGAUCCAAAAUGCGAUGAGCUUGAGGUGUCUUUCAGGGAAAGCAGUGUUAAGGUGAAGAAGUGUGGUGUUAGAAUAGUGUAUGAGAAAGAUUUGGAAGAAAUGAAAGAGUUGCAGUGCGAUACCACUCAAUCUUCUCCAAAUUUUGAGCACAUCCACCAACACUCUGCACAAAACCAUGGAUCAGUAGGUAGCACUUCUCACAUAAAACGGAAACGUAAUAUCUAUGAGGAAAUGUAGGAAGAAGAGCCGUAACCAAAACGGAUGCAAAAAAAUUUCAAUUUUGUAAAGGGCCAAUCAAGAAAGAAGCAUUAACUGUGGUAAACUACUUAACCAACUUUGUCCUAUUUCAUUUAAACAAUUAUUCUAGACUUGUUUUGCAUAUGAGAUAUGAUCCAAAACAUUGUAAAAAAUUGUAUUCAUACUCAUCAUAUUCAACAUGUACAUAUCUCAAAUGUUGAUAACAUUGUUUUUUUAUACCAUUUAAAAUUUUAGUCACUUAAUUCAUUCCUUUUUACAUAAUCUAAAUGUGUAUAUUUUGAUUGGUUUCACCUUUUUUUAUUAAAAUUUUAUUUCCACUAUAUAUAUUCACUUACAUCUAUAUUUUAUUUAUAGGUUGAAGAUGAGGCAAAUUAAAACAAAAUUGUGAGACAAAAAUGGAGACAAAGCAAGUAAUGAUAAAAUGAGAAUCCUUUAAUAACGAUCUAUCAUAAUUUCAACUGAGUUAAAAAUCAUUUUAUUUUUAUUAGAGACCAACUUAUGUAUUCAAUUUAAUUGGUCAAAAUUGUUUUUAUACAUUUAAAAAAUUAAAUAUAAAUCCUUAAAGGUACUUAAAUAGAUUUAAUCCCUUUUAAUAAAGUAUCAUUUAAAUUUCAUGGCUUGAAGUACAAAUAAUAUUAUUCCAACACUUCAGUUUGCGUUUUUUUAUAAAAUAUUUAUAUUUAGACAUUUAUUUUUAAUAUUUAUUCAAAUAUGAAUAUAAAGUAUGCACUGAUAUUCAAUUAGAAAAUCUUUUGUGCGUGAGCACUUAUUCAUAUUUUUUUCUUUUAAAAAAUUCAAUAGAUUCAUUUAUCUCUCCUCGCUGGACCUCCAGCUGGUUUCGCCAUUAUAAUCUGCAAACAUUGAAUCAACAGUAUUACUGACCUUAGUGGAAGAAAAUCAUGGGAAAAUGAAAUACAGAUGCGAUCCUAAGCAACAAAUACAGCUUUGCAUGAGAACCUAAUCCCAUCACCAAACUUUUUUAAGUGCUUGGAACUUGAAAUGAGAGCUCUUCCUUAUCCUGCUCUAUCUUCUGCAACUAAUGUAAAAGAGUUACAACAAUGCAUACACAAACAAAACGAAUAUGGCGGCCUUCAGCUUCAUCAAUACACUAAAUACGCCUAGGUGAUCAAGAUGGAGGACUAUACUUAAGAUGGUGCUCAUAGAAGCUGAUUAACUGCAAUGGAAGAAAACAAAACAAAAGAAGUGCAAGAAUUGUCAGCUCUUUGAGUCAAUUUAAUGAAGGAAAAGAAUGAUCCAUUACCAGCAGUGGAUUGUUAGCUUGAAGAUAUUGGUUGUCCACCAUAACCUCUUUUCCAUCGGACCUGUCAAAAUGUGACAAACAAAAUUUAUCAUCGACAACAUGAACUUCAAGAAAGUGCAGCAUAAAUUUGACUCUCAGAGACUCCAACAACAGAAUCACAUCUAAGAUCAAAAAGCUAAAAAUUUUAGCAUUCUAGCAGUUCAUGUCCUAAAUUACUUGCUAUGUUAGGGGCCACUAGUGAUAGCAUCAUCAAUUUCUCGUAAAUAAAAUCCUCGGGAAUGAAAUAAAAAACUGUUAUUUGAAGGUAAAAAGAAUACUCCGAAACCCAAAAAGAAAUGUCUAAAUCAGGUCAUACGUACUCAAUCAGCACAUAGUGCUUAAGAAGUGUAGGACAUUCUCCCAAAUCGAGAACUAAAGAAAAACAUGAUGAUUUCUAAGAAACUAUAUCCAAAUACAUGUGCAAACAUGAUAGUUACAACAAAAAAAGACUACAUAAAAUGCCCCAACAACAACCGAAACUCUAAAGAGCGACAUGAAUGAUGAAAGUACAUUAAGUGCUAAUACAUCGCAACAUGAUAAGUUGAUAACUUACGCAAGCAAGAACCAAACUUCAAUCCAAUAACACCACACACCAAUAGCAAAGCAAGAUUAUUUUGAAGUCAGCUGAACUAAAACUUCAGAAAUUUUUUAGAGUAAUUAAAUUGAUUAGGAUCUGAAAGGGCGUAUAUGUUGAAGGCUAGAAGUUUCAGCCUAAAAGGUACUAAGCAAUGCAUGGAUGUAAUUUCAAGACAUGAUACGUCAGCCAAUUAAGGUACAAAGGCAAGCAAUCGUACAUUUUUGCAAGUUAUUUGCAUUCCAUUUACUUCUUAUAGAAUACGAGAAUUAAAAAUCAUAGCAAUGCUCAAAAUAUAGCUGAAAGAUUCAUUCGGUUCAAAGGUGAUUGAAAUAGAGUUUGUAACAAACCUGAUUGCCAAGAAGGUUACUGACACAUUUGAGUGUUGGCUGAUACGGAAUCCGAAAAUCUACAGGCUUGAGGAUCUUGGUUAUGACAGGUACACUUAAAGAAUUAUCAAUCGGGGACCUAUGACUCGAACUGUCUGCUGCUAAACCAAGAUUUUACGAUUUCCAUCUCUGCAUCUGUAAUUGCAUAUCCAACAUGGACAUUUGUAGCAUUUUGAGUCAAAUUAGGUCCAGAAGAGGCUGGAUCCUGUUUAAACCUCUUAACAGAACCAGACUUCCUCCUUUUAGCUCCCGUGCGACGAUCACUCUGAACUGAUUUCCCACGGUCAACCUUUGGUAACCCAUUUACAGGUCCAUCACCUUCAGCAGCUCUGCCUUCUUGAAACCGAAUUGCAAGCUUAUCUUUAUUGCCCCCUUCAGAAGAUAAUGCACCUUUUAGCUCACUGAGUUUGGUAUCAUAAUCAUUUUCAUGCUUUGUCUCGUCAAUUUUCUUUGAACCGUUAGCAGAAUUGUCAUCCUUAACUCUUUUAGCUGUCACUGUUAUUUGUUUCAUUGAAAAGACCAAGAUGCUGGACGGGAUGAGCUCCAGGAAUUCCUUUGUUAGGCGAGAUUACAAAGACUAUUCCAUGGCCAUGGAAGUGUCCCGGUACAUUUGCAAAAAUGGAUGUGUUAGAAAAGGAGGAAACACUACCAUUUUUGGAAACCGAAUGGUAGUAGUUUUGUUAUUAAUUUUGUAUUAUGCAUAAAGUUAGAUUUAGUCUAUAUUCUCUAGAUCAUUUUUAAUCAUUAUAAUUUUUGAAUUUUAGUCUUAAUACAAACGUUAAUAAUUAAAUCUAUUGAAUGCUUUUAUAUAGUAAUAUGUAAAAAUAACAAGCUGACAUAAUAUUACACAUGCCAUAAUAUAUUUGCCGCAUCAAAUUUUAAAAAUAACAAAACCUAUCUUAAUAAUUUAAUUGCUAUCAUCUAAUCUCAUGUUCUAUGUUCCCUUGAAGUUGAGCACCUUGAUCCACUAAAUCUUUCCUCUUUGUAUACCCUCCUCAAGCACAGGCAAAUGGCAACCCCAACUAAUAUACCCAAACUUGCCACUGGAACCAUGAUCCAAACCCACAGUUGUUUGCCAUUUCCUCCUAUAUCAGUAUCAGAAAACGCCCACGAUUUCACACAGUUGAGCUCAGCUUCAUUGCUUGUUGAACC
rnacentral:lncRNA from 1 species